GACUUUUCUCCCCUCAGACUCGGCCGGCUCGCUAAGGCAACGCCUCCCUCCUGAGGGGAAGUUCGUAGUCGGCGCUGUGUAAGCUAAAGGAAAGGGUUGGCGCUGCUGGCCUUCACGGCAAGCUUUCGCCGGCUCAGCAAAUAUUUAUCCGAUUUUAAGACGCGGAACUGCUUUCUGUUAAAAAAAAAAAAAAAAAAAAAGGCGAGAAAAGCGGAGCAAAACGAAACAAAAAUUCUCCCUGCGACUCCGCCGGGACUCGAACCCGGAACCUUUGAAUCCCUUCAACCCUCUAGAAGUCCAAUGCGCUAUCCAUUGCGCCACGGAGCCACCUGUUGGAUUCUUUGUACAUUCGCUAUACAACCCACAGAAAGACUUCGUCCCGUCCUUCGCAGCAGGAAAGGGUGUGUUCCAUUGCUCUUUUAAAACUGAAUUAUGUCGUGGCGCCACAAAGAAAAGUUGCUAUUAUUUUUUCCUUGCGAGUUUUAAACAGCUCAUGGAACUAAUUUCCAUAUUAAGUGUGAACUUCAGUUGAAAUCAAUACUACUCAUUAUUGCAGGGCAGGGCUGCCAAGGACACCCUUAAAACAAAUAUUUAUUGUGUACCAGAGCGCAUGUAGCUAUACUUUACUUUUUUUUUACUGUGUUUCUAAAAUUGACUAAUUUCAUUGUGCAUUAAAUAAAAAGAGGGCUAUAUCUACUCAAUGUGGGAAUUGAACCAUGUAGUGGUUUUAGUAAAUAAUUUUGCUGAUCGGAUCAUUUCAAGCCUGCUGAAUCUUACAAUAUUCCUUUUUCAUUAUGGUUGUGUCUUUAAAUAUCAUUUGAAAAUAUUUAGCAAUUGUUUGCUUGUAUUUUCCAGUUUUUUUAUAAAAACAUUGAACUGGUGAGAGAGAAUAAUAAAGUAGUGCCUUUCACUGGACUAAUUUAUUGCGGCAUAAGAAUAUGCAAGCUCUUUGAUUACACAGAACUCUUCACCAAUGUAAAGAUUAAUAAUUCUUAAUAAUUUUUUUGCUAGAAGUCAUUGGGUUUUUAAAAUUAAAUGCAGAUUAUUUUUAAACACUUCCGAAAACUGUCGGUCAUUUAAAGAAGCAAUUCAAUCAUUUCAUGUUUCAACUCCAUGUAAAAUUAUGCACUAAUUUAGGAGUUAUUUUUCUUUGUGUGUCAGAUCCUUUCUUAAAAGGCCACUAUUUUCCAAAGUGCACGGAAGAACUUUCACUCAUCACCAGUAACUUUCCUCUCUUUACAGUGAAUCAUUGGCAGUCCAUUUUGCCCACACCUUUUGCCAAGAGACAUCAAUUCAGUAAGUCAUAAUUUUAUCUACCUUUUCUGUGGGGGUGGGGUGGAAUUGAUUGAUCAGUCACCCCUCCACUUCAAUAAGUUUUCUUGAAACAAACAUAUGAACCUGCUUGGGUUUUGAGAUUAUAUUUCUACCAGGUUUCCAUGCAGCCUUGAGAGAUGCUUCACUGAAGAUGAACAUCCUUCAUCUAGCCCAAGAUACCUAUACCUUACUUCCAGAAUAAAUUUUACAUGCACCCUCUGCAUCAGUUACCAGCCUCUGAGGACUCUUUAAGUGUAACACUGCCAGUAAAGUUGGGGAUUUUUAUUUGAUUACAUUAAAAAAACAAUAUAAUAAUAAUAAUAAUAAUAAUAAUAAUAAUAAUAAUUUAUUUGUACCCCGCCCAUCUGGUUGGGUUUCCCCAGCCACUCUGGGCGGCUUCCAUAGAAACCAAAAAUACACUAAAAUAUCACACAUUAAAAACUUCCCUCAAAACAAAAAACAUUAAUGUGAAUUCUUCCAGAUUUUCAUGCUAAAGCAUACCCCUUAUUUCUCACUCACCAGUAGAUGGCACUGCUGGAAGUAAAAUAAAAAGGCAUGCACAAUAAACAUUAUUUCCCAAAAAUCAUUUCUCCCCACCCCUUUGCAAUGACUGUCAUAGUCAGUACCAGCUAUAUGAAUGACACAAUUUAUCUUCUGCACCCCUAGAUAAAAGGAGAGAAGGAAGUUCUGGCAAGGGGCUAAAGAUGAGCAUGAAAGUGUUCCCAUAUGAAGUCAAUUAAAGGGUCUCUGCUAACAACGAUAGGCAAUAUCGGUGCCUGAAACUUUGGAGAGCAGCUCCUACUCAGCCCCUAGCUUCACUGAAAACACGAGUCAAUUUUAUCCACUUUAAUUAUCAUAGAGUCUCCCCAACGCGAUGGAAAAAGCAGCGGACACAGCUCAAAAAACUUAAAAUCACUAUGGGGGGGGUAGGUUUGCCCUCAAAAGCUCAAUAAUUUGUUUUUGUUCCCCCCAAAAAAGGCUUAACAAUUUUUGUUGAUUUCUUUAAAAAAUGCUCAACAAUUUUUGCAUGUGUCAGGAAUUUUACUUUUUGAAAUAUGGCAACCCUAGACAGAUCAGGUAUGGGGAAUCUUGGUUCUUCCAUAUGUUUGCUGAACUACAACUCCCAUCAUCCCUGGGCAUUGGCUACAAUUGCUGGAGCUGAUGGGAGUUGUAGUUCAGCAGUGUCAGGAGAGCCGAUGUUUCCCCACAUUUGUGAUAGAGCAAAGCGUAUUCACGUGCUCAAGAGGAGAAUCGCCUUACUUUGGUUGGACAGCCAUGCAGUUCUGUGCUUCCUAUCUACUUUUUAAAGGGGAUAUGUCAUAGAUAGGAAACCUGUGGCCCUCGAAAGAUCUUGGAUUGCAACUCCCAUCAACCUCAGCCAGCAUGGCCAAUGGUUAGCGAUGAUAGGAGUUGUAGUAUGUUCUUAUUGAACUCCAAGUUUUUCUAGAACAGGGUUUGAAAAUGUGUAGAGCAGGGAUGGGGAACCUAUGGCCUUUGCAGUUAUUGUUCGACAAGUUCCCAUCUUUCCUGACCAUUGACCAUACUGGCUGGGGCUGAUGGGAAGCGGAGUCCAACACUAUCUUGAGGGCCAAGGCUUCUUCCGAAGUUCCUUGAUCAAGGGGUUAAUGGAGCAAGGUCAUUAAUCUCUGUUAUCACCUUACCCUCACUUGUGCAGUGUGACACACACAGACAUAAAUAAACUUUAAAGUAUUUGUGGGUUGGGAGCAGAAAAGUAAACAUUGCAAGACAAUCUGCCUGUGUGCUUAGAAGAAUAAAGACUCCUGGUUUUUUGUUUUACAAAGGCAAACAGAAUUUUCAUUUCUACUGUGAAGUGUGAGGCUUCCCACCUUUUCCCAGUCUGUCAGUCCCAGAGCUUGCCAGUCAUUCCAAGUCCAUUUCAAUCCAUGUGAGAAAUAUGUAUCUCUUUUGGAGACACUAACAAGGCUCUUCACAGGGAUUUUUAAGAGCUAGCUCUGGGAAUUGCUGAGGGUGUGUGAGAAUAGGCAUCAUAUCAUCUGUGACAUAUCACCUUAGAGGCAGUGUGUGGCUACAUGGAAAAAUCUAGCCUACAGGGAUGGGUACCUUGGUUUUUAAAGAUUUGCUAAUAAAAUUGGCUAAAAAAACCAACACAAAAAACAACAACAGCCUAGCAAGAUGCCACAGAACAGAGAUAUAAUUUUAUAAUUAGUGAAUAGGAGAUUGUGUCAUCUGUGUAUAACAGUGUGUCAGUGAACAUGUGAGCCCACUGUAAUUUUGGCUAAAUACUUUGGAUGUUUACUAUGUCUAGCCAGACAUACUAUAUGUGGAAAGGAGAGGUCUGUGGAGUGGGGGAGACAGGAGAAGACAGGAUCAAGCCUUUGCAUGAAAAUGAGUGGGUAGUAGCAACCUCUGCUUCUAAUAAACUAUUUGUGCCUAAGGUUAUGACCCUACAAUUUCUUACAGAAGUGAAUAAGGCCCAUGUAAUAAAGUGGUGCUUAUUUCCCAGUGAACAUGCAGGAUCAGUUUGCUUUAGUAGUUAAUGCUGAAUAUCAGGUGGUAGAAUAUUAUUCUAGGAGCUUGUAUCCCUCUCUUCUGCCACAAAGGGGCAAACCCCAGAUGCUACACAGAAGACCAGUUGUUUAAAAAUUAACAGCAGUUGUCAGGGUGUGUGCGCACUGGGACCAUGGUGUAUGUAGGAGGGAGGCUUGACUUUUCCCAUGUACCCUAAAUGACCCAACUAAAAUCUUUCUUUCUUUUUUUUUAAUUUCUCUUUAUUAAUUUUUAUACACACAUAUGUACAGAAAAUAAAUUCUUCAUGGGGGAAAAAAACAAUAAUAAGAACAACAUAACUUAAUUAUAAGAAGAAGAAAAAAACAAAAAAAAAACAUGUAAGUUAUUGACUUCCCUCCACCUCAGUUUUGGGUUAUGUAAUACAUUUUUUCCCGCAGUUUUUCUUUAAAACUUUUGUAUGUCGAAGGGUUAUAUUAAAAUCUUUCCCCUGUUAUUUGCUCCUUUGUAUGAUCCCUGUAAAGGAAAACUAACUGAUAUCUUACUGGUAGCUAUCAAUUUCUUCUACCCAUCAAGAAGCAGAUUCAGGGAUUAGUUUUUAAUCAGGGAGAAUGGCAUGAGGCAAGUGAUUAAGUCAUUCCAUGGUUGCAGUUGGACAGAACAGAUAGCUUUUUAAAAAAUUCUUGCAGGCCUAAAUUAAUUGUUUCUUCUAUUUAAUUUUGUUUGUUUGUUUUUAUUUUAUUGAUUUAUACUUUGAAUGUAGAUUACACUACAUUAGUAAAAUACAAAUCAAGAAAGAAAAAAAUCCAACCUCAAAAUCUGAAACAAGCUGAUAAGCUAAUUGAGACAGUAGCGGAAUCCCAAUGGAAUCAAGAUUCUUAAAAGGCCCACUUAAAGAAUAUUUUCACUGUCCACCACAUUUGAGAAUCCCCCUUCUCGGUCACUCACCUCAGAUAGCAGUGGGAUCUUUAGGAGACCUAAACUUAAAUGAAAGUAGCAGGCAGGCGCCUACGGAGUGGGGGAAUGGAGGCAUCUGAGAUAUUUUGCUCCCAAACUUUCCAGGGGAAAAGGUGGGAAAUUGUAGAUAGAUAGAUAGAUAGAUAGAUAGAUAGAUAGUCAAAGCCAGCAUCUUAAAUUCAGAUUGUGAGCACAAUGAGAGCCAGUGAAUUAGAUUCUUCUUUUUUCAAAAAAAAGUGAAUGAAAUUGUUUCCAGUAAAUCCUACCAUCCCCAUGGGGUUUCCUCCUUCUCUUAUUGUGGAAGAUUUGCCCCAAACUAUAAAACUGCACAAGCAAAAUACAUUUUUAAAAAUCUACAACAGCAAUCUAAAAAGUGAGUGACUAUCUCAUUCAUAUAUAUAUAUCCAGAAAACUGAAAAUGUGUGCUGAACCUUUAUGAUUGCCUGACUGUGUGCUUUUGUGUACCUCAUUUGCAUGAAUUUUUUUUUUAAAGGUAUGCGCACAGUUGUCUUCAUUCAGCUACCUAAUUGGCAUAAUAAAAUCAACAACUUAAAAGGUAGGGGCGAACAGCAACAGUAACACCGUCUGUGGUAUGAACAGGAAAGAUUGUGGUUGCUCCUUAUAUAGAAAUUCAAAUACAUAUUGGUGUGGACUAUUUCAAUCUUAUUCAAUUGCGGAAAAAGUGGAUUAACACCCAAAUGAUGCUCAAAUGUGGUCAAACCCAUAAUGCAUAGUGUGGGCCUCAGAAUAUUAGUCCACCUAGCCCAGAUCUGGCCAGGGUGAAUGUUCCCCAAGGUCACAGCAAGCAUCCUGUUCCUUGAGAUCCUUUUAAAUUGCAGAAGCUUUUAAAUUGCAUUGAAGCCUGGGACCUUUGGCAUGCAACGCAAGUGGUCUCUGCUAUUAAGCUUCAGUACAGUUGUGGCUGGUGCCCAUUGGGAUGCAAGGCAGGAGCCCAACACUAGGGGGAGCAAGAGCCAAUAAGAGGCAGAGCCCAACUAAUUCUGGCCUUGUCUCAAUCUUCCUCCUGGCCAGUUUUCACAAAUGUAGCACUGAGACUAAGGAGGAGGUAGUUCAUUGCCAAUGUCACCCUCUGGAUGGGACGGAAGUAAGAAAGUAAGCAGGUGGGGGCUGGCUGAAGGCAGACAGAGGUUGGUGGGGCAGUGCCCUAUUAAUCCUAAUGGACUAUCCUCCACUGCAAAAGGAGGUGUCAAAAAAGACCAGUGCCUGUUCCCCAGGUCUGGGGGAAGUCUGCUGUGCAUUCUACACCCACACAAGGGCUAUACAGACAUCCUUGUUGGGGCUGAGGACCAGUCUGAAAACCCCUGAUAUAUGUAGAAUGUAGGGAUCUGGUAGGAACACACCUGAUUCCUGCAUUCCUCUAUAUUGCCUUGUAGCUGAGCCUCAUAUCAUAAUUCAGUCUCUGGGUUCAGAUCCCCUUUAUAAUGCCCUGCAAGCCUUUCUGCGAACUGUACCGUCUAUCUGCUUUGUCACACCUUUCCCUUUAACCUGCUGCUUUUGAUCAAUAUUUUACAUCUUGUCCCGGAAAGGUGGGCAGAAACAAAAGUGAAGAUGAUAAGACCACCGCUGAAGGGCAAGGGGGAGAGGAAGUAAAAAAUAGUUUCUGGUGUCCUUUAAAAUGCACCUGCAUAAAAUGUGCUAAAGUUCACCCUGCCGUUACAUAAAAAAAUAAAAACUUUGCACAAAAAGGUACAAGAACCAAGCUCCAAAAAUAGCAGCAAAGGCUACUGCAGCUGAAAGCAAAUUGGGAAAACUCUUACCUUUUUUUCUCCAAUGCUUUCCUAAUGCGGCGUUCUCCCUUCCCCUCCUUCAUCCAUGCACUCUGUGAACGGUUUGCACAUACUAAACAAGGACUGUGGUGGAGACAGUGGUGCACUGCGGCGAGCAAAAGGAAGUCAUUUGGAUCAGCGAUGUGAAAAAGGGAAGAAGGGAACAAUCUGUGAUCAAACAAUCUGGGCGACUUUCUCCAGUCGAUUGCAUCUUUGCAGGGCACAGCAUAAAUCUGACAGGGAAUCCAGCCCAGUAUUUAUUUCAGGAGAGCAAAUGGAGUUGGCAAGACAAGUCUACAUUGUGUGUGUGUGUGUGUGUGUGUGUGUGUGUGUGUGUGUGUGUGUAAGGCAUUGAUUUGAUACUUUAUUGUGCAUUUAUUUGUUUGUUCAUGGAUCUAUUUCUCUAUAUAAGUGCUUUCAAUGUCAACGUCCGUGGGGCAUUACAGCAUAACAUAAACAAAAAGAAAAACGGUCCCUCUCCUGAUGAGCAUGCAAUCUAAAUUUAGACACGAGGGGAGAUAGCAGAGGAAGGAGGGAGAGCCAUACCAUAGGAAAUGAGCAGGUACUGUUCACAGACUGAGUCUGUGUACAUGUUACCACUUACCCUGGCUCCAGCGGGCUCCCACCACCCGUAUCUGAAGCUGAGAAGGCAUGACCUUAGCCACAGACCAUCUGUGUCCUACAGCGCUUGGCAAAUGCUGCUUUGUGAUGUGAUUUCCCUUAAAGCAGCUUCCACCCAGUUCAAAAACAUAAGCCAUGGUCCAGCUGGGUUGUUUACCUGUUAGACGUCCAUUGCACAUGUGCAAAUUACGCAUGCGAAGAGGACAGUUUCGCCAAAUAGGGGUUGGCAGGGCUGCGAGCAUGGGGAAAUAGAUCAGGUAAUGAUACGCACAGCAGCCUAAAACACAACUUGAAACAUGGAGGGGGAGAUGGAGACGGCCUUGUUGCAUUUCAAAGCCACUUAUGUGUACAUGCCCUAAGGAAUUAAUGGAGAAGGAGGCUUUGGGAAAGGGAUUUUAGAGAUGGCAAGGAGCAUUGCAUGUUGUUCUGAAAGGGAGUUCUAGAUGUUAGGGGCAGCAGCCAGAGACAAUGGCUGAAAUCUUUGGGGGGCUUGAAGAAAAAGCUACAACAGGAAAUCAACCACCCAAAAUGUUAGGGUUGGGCAUUGCUGAAAUUCUUAACCUGUGUUGACAGUUUGAAUAGAUAAAAGGCUGCCAUUCUUUGCACACUUGCAUAGUAAUAAGCCCCACCAAAUUCAUGGAGCUUUCUUUGGAGUUUCCCCCUUGUAGGAUUGUGCUGCAAAGGACAAUGUUAUUAUUGUGGUAAAUAUGAAAAGGCGAGGGGCUAGGAAGACCUGCCUCAGGAAUUCUGAGAAAGAAGCUUUCCCCUGCCAUCUUAAAAGGUGGCCAGAAAGCAAAGACAUGGGCAGCAAGGGGGGACUCUAGAAAAUAGCCACAAGUCAGGUUGUCACAAACUUGGAGGUAAAUGGGAAAGUCUGUGUCCUGUGUUCUUUGUGCAGUGUUCAUAAAUGUGAGGCUCAUGAGGAGUUGCCCAUGAAAAGCCAUCCCUUAGGGUCCUCCCAGCCCUCAGGAGUGACCUGGGGGUAGACGGUUUGAGGGGUUGCAGCUGAUGAGAGAUUCCCCACGGGGGGUGGGGUGGAAGUGGGUUCUGCUCAUACACUGAUGUGAUUGCUCAUACUGCACACCACCUCAAUAUCUAAGCAGUGCGAGAUUCCAGGGUUUCCAGGCGCUAACUUAUAGUUCUUGUUUCCUUCUGGAAAGACUGUGCUGCCUUUAGGGUAUGUGAUUUAUUUGCGCAUAUAUACAACAUGAGCCUACUAUGGAGGGGUUCACAGCGUUAGCACCCCAAGAGGGUCUUGUUUCUCCCAUAGCCAUGGCCUUGGAUUCAAACAUUGUGCUCUGCCCCUCUGGUUUUCAGCCUGCAGCUUUACUUCUAGAUCACCCACAACACUUUCAAAAGUCGGGCUUUUGUCCUUCUUGCUGUCUGUGAGCGGAGGCUGCACCCAUUUGCCGUCUCACACAGAGCCCCCUCGUCUUUGCUUUCUUAAUGGCUCAUCACCUUGUCUUUCCUUAAUGGCCCAUCACCCAAGUGAUCGUUGUUGUUUAGUCAUUUAGUCGUGUCCGACUCUUCAUGACCCCAUGGACCACACUCCUGUCUUCCACUGCCUCCCGCAGUUCGGUCAAACCCAAACGAUUACCUGAACACAAUAAGCUAGCCUGCCUUGAUUAGCUUCUAACACUUGCUGAGUCCAGGGAUUAGGUGUCGGGCACCCAGUUUAAUACCCCAAGCCUUGAUUAGAUUCCAACACUUUACUGGGUGCAGGAAUUUAUAUUGGUUUGGCACCCGCAAACUCGUAACAACACUUAGCAUUUAAAUUGCACUUUUUAUGUGAACUUGUCACCUAAUGUAUUCCUCUUUGCUGUCUUUGUUUGCCAACAUAUAGUUCAAUGCCUCCUUUGUGUGGCUCUCCCACUCUGUCCUUGUGCUUUCUUCCAGCCCGCCCACCUCACAUGAAAUGAAUUCUAAGCUUUGCUCUUCCUGCCUCCACCUCCCUGAAAAACACCACUUGUAUAAGACUCAGUGCCACAGCACGGUCUUUUUUGUUGACGAGGGAUUCUUAGUGACAAAGCAUCAGCUUUGCAUGCAGAAGGUCCCUGGCUAAAUCCCUGACAGCUCCAAGUAGGGCUAGGAAUUUCCCUGGCUAAAAACCCUGGGGAGUAAUUGACACCUCCAGGGGCGUAGCGUGGGUUGCCAGUGCCCAGGGCAGGGCAAGUGUUGUGCCUCUCUGGUGGACUGGGCAGCGUUCAGUGCCUUUGCCAGCUAGUGUCUAAUCAAGGGAGUCUGUCCUUGCAAACUAGCCCUGAAAUGGGAGCAGAGAUAAGGCAGAGAAACGUGAAGCUUGGAGCACCGCUGUGUUGCCCCGCCCUCCUGUCCUUGCAGCGAGGUGCUCUAGACCAGGCACAUGGCUCCGGCAGUGCUUUCCUGCCUUCCUCUUCCUCCUUCCCUCUUGACUGGCCCACUGGUGGGGUGCACACAGAUGUUCCUUCACAGGCCAAUAGGAGGAGACACUUUUGCCCCAGCACCGAAUGGCCCUGUGCAAUUAACCACUGCCUGGCAGAAAUUCAACAGAUAUCACCAUUUCUUGCCACAUGCAUAUAGCAAUGUGAAUGGGUUCACAUUUGAAUUCUGUCUAUCGUACAGCCUAGAACUUCUGUUUCCACUUUCCCUUGAACCCGCUCAGUCCCUGCUUUGUGUAACAUCAUCCAUACAUCCCAGGCAGCUUCAAUUGCAAUCAUCCCUGUGAUCGUAAAAGCCAGACGUAACCCCAUAGGCUGUUGAUGCAAAUACAACUUGGUAUAAAUAAAAACAAAUAUUCAAGCCGCAUUCAGUUCUGCUAGCAGGUUAAGUGUGAUGAAAUUGAUUUCCCAGCUGACAACAACACAAUGCCUCUCUUUGCAAAAUGAGCACAUGAAACACACGCACAGCACCUGGAAUUAUCCAGCAGGGAUUUCUGUUAUUAGAACUGCCUAGUUGCUAAUGUAAACAGGAUGCUCAGGCUAGGCAGAUGUCUGAGCAAUGUGACUAAACCUAAGAAAACACAGUCAUAUCAAUGAGAUAAGAAUUGUGUUGUUUUCUAUAAAUUAAAGUUUCAGUUGCUUGCAUUCGCUAUUCUCAAAACAAAAGUUUGCAGAUGGGUGCUUUACUACAAGUAGCAAGAUAGCAGCAGCAGCAGCAGCAGCAUUAGCAGCAAUCAAUUGAAACAAUAACAGAUCCAAGGCAUUCAUUGCUCAAGGUGUACUGGGCCUGUGACUGCUGGAAAAAAGAGGUCCCAGCCCGUUGCCAGGGCAGUGCGCUUGUUGCUUCCUCAUUGUUGGAUCCCACAGCAAUGUUUGAGGUUUUCAACCUUUUUGGGUUUUGCAGAGGUUUUCAACCUUUUUGGUUCCACAGCUCCCUUGAUCAACUACAUCCUGUGGGGCUCAGGAGUUAUGUCACCCCUUGGCUGCAGAGCUGGCAGCCUCUCACCCCUUUUCAAAUACCCUCCCCUGUGGAGUGUUUCCCCAGCCUCCUCUCCUUGGGAGUUCUCUGGGCAGCCGCAGCUGUCACCCCUGGUCUCUGAGCUGCCCCCCUGCCCCACAGGGGCCUGGGAAGCACCCCCUGGCCAGCCCCAGAGGCACCAUUUGCCUGGGAGCUUGUAACCAGGGCUGCUGCAACAAACAGCUGUGCAAGCCCUUGGGAGGCAGAGACGUGAGGGGGCAUCAGAGGAAGGGAGGGAAGGAAAGAGGAACAGAGGCAAGUGUUGCCCACGGCACCCCUGGCCAUCAUUCAAGGCAUCCUCAGGUGCCAUUGCACACUGGUUGAAAACCACUGGCAUAAUGGAAUCACGUGGAAGAGGUGUGAAGUUCAGGGUGGUGUGGUGAUGGCGCGGAAUGUGUGCACCAUCGGUGCAUCCCUUGUCAAUCUGUUCAGUCAGGAUCAUACAAAUCAUCCCAGAGAUCUCUCUGCCUGUUUCUACUUCCUCCGGUUAACACUACUACUGUAUUAGAAUAACUGUGGUUUGGAUGCUUGCCAAUGUUUACGUUACCAAAUAAUCCAGGUCCCAAGAAGGAUUGCUUUUAAAAUGAGCAACUUUUAUGCAAGAAUGUUUCCUCCAAUUAAGAAGAAAUGUCCUUUCUAUGCUUAAAGUGGCACACUUGAUAAAAGACCAAGACCAAGAAGGACGGGAGAGACUCUAUAAAUGCAGAAAAUAGUAUGAAAAUUUAAAACUUUUUUUAAAAAAAGGAAUGUAUGUUGCGGUUAAAACAUUCUCUUGAUGGCUGAAUCAUUAAUACAAUUUAGGAUGCAAUACUAUUCCUAUAGUCUCUAGUGCAGGCUUCCUCAAACUCGGCCCUCCAGGUGUUUUGAGACUACAAUUCCCAUCAUUCCUGACCACUGGUCCUGCUAGCUAGGGAUCAUGGGAGUUGUAGGCCAAAAACAUCUGGAGGGCCGAGUUUGAGGAAGCCUGCUCUAGUGUAAUACAUGGACUCUGGUAUUUGUAAGAAGUGCAGUUACAGUUAAUUUCACUAGUUGGUGCUAGUGAUAAUAGAGCUGUAUAUGAAGAACCAAAUAGUUGCUCAAAUAGUGUGGUAGGAGAGCGGGGGGUGGGAAUCACAACUAUCAACCAAUGCAUCCCUUUUGGUUUCAGAUAGUAUAGGGGUAGACAAGUCUAAAAAGCCAGGGACACAAAUUUUUACAGCCCUCUAGCAGCUAUGGUGGCUCCCACUAAAAAAGGUCAAGGGACCCCUGACAGUUAAGUCCAGUCGCGAAUGACUAUGGGAUUGUGGCACUCAUCUCACUUUACUGGCCAAGGGAGCCAGCGUUUGUCCACAGACAGCUUCCACUACACACACCCAGAAUCUGCUCCGGAGAAUCUCUCAACCUUCCAAAGCUGAUUUUGAGAGGGUGCAGGGGGACUGGAGGCAACAGGAGAGGGAGAGGAAGUUCUGUUGUUCACAAGAAGUCCCUUGUAGCAGCAGAACUGCAGUGUUGCAUAUGGACCUUAGUUUAGAAUAUACAGUGGUACCUUGGGUCACAGACGCUUCAGGUUACAGAUGCUUCAGGUUACAGACUCUGCUAACCCAGAAAUAGUACCUCGGGUUAAGAACUUUGCUUCAGGAUGAGAACAGAAAUCGCGUGGCGGUGGUGCAGCAGCAGCAGCAGCGGGAGGCCCCCUUAGCUAAAGUGGUACCUCAGGUUAAGAACAGUUUCAGGUUAAGAACGGACCUCCAGAACGAAUUAAGCUCUUAACCUGAGGUACCACUGUAAAUGUCCCUUUUACAGUCAGUUUUCAGAUUAAGAAAAAACUACGUCUCUCACCUAUUGGGGCAUUCAUUCCAAUCUCCAUUACACAACAAUUGCAUUUGUGACUGAUUACCCUUCAGCAGUAUAAACCUCUCGGUUACUUUCUCCCUGAUAGGAUGACAUAUAUCAGAAUUUGCCUCAAACUCAUCACUCUGAGGAAGCAACAAUGUGGGGAAGCUCAAAAACAGAACUUCAAAGGCUCUCUCUGCAGAUGGCACCCAAACAAAGGCCUCUUUCUGUGAAGUGAAUUGGCCACUUUCGUUCUUAUGCUCUAAAAGCAUGGCAUAGUCCUACAUUCUAACAUAACACUGAAAUAAUGUCUCACAUUGUUCCUUUGGACUUUUUAGAAAAAGAAAUAUUAGCGAGCAAUGGAUGUUGAUUAAAUAACCAAAAGUAUUUUGUGAAGGGCAGAGUUCGUUGCAGAAUAUAUCAGUGCCUAAAAUUUGGUGAAUGUCAGCAGUCCCAGACAUUGUUGUGAAUGUCCCAAAACUCAGAGACAUAUUGGUGAUCCUAAAUGGGAAGAAUAGAGUCUUGCACUACCUGAAGAUGAAACUUUGUUCUCCUUAGGGAGCAAUCCCUCAAACUGCUAAGUAAAGCUACCCAAUUUCAUUCUAAUUACUUAAAAAAUAAAAUAAGACGCACUAUCUAAAAUCAAUCUCCAUACCUUCUAAUAUAAAGCUUCUGUUUAAUUUUGUUUUUCACCCAAUGAGGUACCAGUGUGUUUCACCUAAGUAUGGAAAUGGACUGUGUAAGAGAGGUUUUGUAUUUCCGGAGAUGGGGGAACUGCCAUUGUUAGUUUGUUUUUCUUCCCACAAUUGUUGCUUCCAGAUUAUCAGCAAUUCUAAAUUUGCUUGGGGGUGAUUAGAUGACUGUUGCAUCAAGCAAAUGUUAUCCCACACUUUGCAAUGCAUUUUCCUAUCAAUUCCUGCAUCACAAAAAGUUUGUUGCUAAAAAGCAGCAAAUCAGCUUUAAUUGUGGGAUCUUCAUUUGCCAGUAUAGUGACAGUCUGAAAGCAUCUCCAGGCUUUGUGCAUUCUGAAACCUGUAUAGUGUCUAACAAAACCUUAUUUGAAGGUCCUCUAUCUCCUCCAGCGGGUGGCGGGACGCAGGUGGCGCUGUGGGUUAAACCACAGAGCCUAGGACUUGCUGAUCAGAAGGUCGGCGGUUUGAAUCCCCGUGACGGGGUGAGCUCCCGUUGCUUGGUCCCUGCUCCUGCCAACCUAGCAGUUUGAAAGCACGUCAAAGUGCAAGUAGAUAAAUAGGUACCGCUCUGGCGGGAAGGUAAAUGGCGUUUCCGUGCGCUGCUCUGGUUCGCCAGAAGCAGCUUAGUCAUGCUGGCCACAUGACCCGGAAGCUGUACGCCGGCUCCCUCGGCCAAUAAAGCGAGAUGAGGGCCGCAACCCCAGAGUCGGUCACAACUGGACCUAAUGGUCCCUUUACCUUUAUCUCCUCCAGCACUCUGUCAUAAGAUGAAUGCAGGCAAAUAUGGUUACACUACUGGUGAUUUUUUCUGUCUCUCCACCCCCUGCUUUGUUUACAUCUAGCCAGAUGAAGAAUUAAGGAGAACUUGUACAGUACAAUAAUUUGUGACAUUUUGGUUGCGCUAAUAAAGGUAUAGCCCUAAUAUGAAUGUUGAUCCUAGCCUGAAGGUGAUUGUCACUAUUCACUGGAGUAUGUCCAACAGUUGAGAAAAAUGUGAAUUUCAAAACAUUAACCAAUUUUGACUUGGAAUGUCAACAUGAAUGAUUGAAGGACUUUUCAGUAUAUGUCUUUCAACAAGAGGAUAUUUCAGUUUCAAGGGUAUAGGAACAGGAAUGUGAGUGGCAGGAAUUACUUGCUUAUCUGCUGUUGACAUUCAUUGUUGUAACAUAUUAAUUAACCAUAUUAUGAAAGCAUGCCUGCAAAUAUAGACUACUUCAUCAGGUCCAUCCAUUUAUUUUUGAGGAGGUUUUAGCUAUCUAGGAUUCUCCAGUGGUUAUAAAAUGUCUUCUGAGAAGACAUGCAUAGGAGAGACGUUGCAUAUGUUCCUUGACUUUCUGAUUUGUUAAAAGUUACAGAUGAAUCUGUAAACCAAGAGGAGACAUUUGGCCAUGGAGACAGUUCUUUAAUUUUUUUAAAGACCUUCCCACUGAAGUGGGACAAGCUUUUCUCUCUUAAAUCUCCCACUGCAGUGAAGUUUCUUGCACCAGGGUCUGUGUCUAGAAGAAUGUUCUGCAAUGUAGAUGUAGCCUGAAAGGAGUAUAGGAAUAUGCUCCUCCCCUGUGUUGCCCUAUCUGAACCCCAAUCUCUGCCUUAUUUUGGCUGCUGCAGAGGCAGAAUGGUUCUGUCAGCAUAACAGGAGAGUUCUGCCGGCACAUCUGUCAGCAUCAUAUCUGGCGUUGAACCAGGGAGCACAUCAGGGCUUCUGACAUUUGGUAAUAAGUUACAUUGGGACUUAGAGUCAUAGAAUUGUUGGAAGGGACCCUGUGGAUCAUCUAGUCCUGCAAUGCAGGAAUAUGCAGCUGUCCCAUAUGGGGAUUGAACCUGUGACCUUGGCAUGAUUAGCACUAUGCUCUAACCAACUGAGCUAUCCAGAAGACCUUAUUUCCAAGUAUACAAUAAGAUAAGGACACAUAGCUGCCAGCCUAUGCACAUUUACUUGGGAGUAAGUCCCAAUGAAUUCAGUGGGACUUAUUUCUAAGUAAACAUGUAUAGCAGAUUGCGGAAUCUGUGGCCCUACAGAUAUUGUGGGAGUCCAACCCAUGAUCUUUGGCUGUGUAGCUAGGGCUGAUGCGAGUUGUAGUUCAGCAAUAUCUGGAGGGCUACAGGUUCCCCAUCACUGGCAUAUAGGAUCAGGCUCUUAUUGGCACUUACUCAUGUCUGCAUUAUAUAUUAUAUGAAUUUUUAUGCAUUUAGGUUUCUCCCUCCACUGCUGGCAGGAAUUAUUAGUUCAACAUGACCCAACUGAUACAUAAUCAAGGCUGUAUUAGAUGUACUACGGCAUAACAAAAAGACAGCAAUGGUGUUUUAAAUUAUGCAUUGAAGUAUUUCUUAAGAUGUAAAUAAAUCUCUAAAUUUGCUUGGAAUGGGGAAUAUUUUUCAGAAUUCAGCCCUCACAGUAUGAUUCACAAGUUGUUGGCAUCUGAGUAGGUCUGAUCUUUUAUUGGUUGGGAAGGACUUUUCAAGGUAUGUCUUUCAACAAGAGGACAUUUCAGUUACAAGGAUAUAUCAGUGGGAAAUGAUAGCCGAUUGAGCAGGAAGAACGGUUGUGUGUUCUUUUCUGUUAAUACUUAAUGCAAUAGUCUCUGGGUUAUAAAAUUUAAUGAAUGGGCUGAUUAUUGUUUGGUGCAUAUUAAGGGGAUCUUUUGUUGAGCUACAUUGUCUGUGAGAGAUUUAAAAUGCAAGAGACAGAUUUAAAAUGCUGCUUUAAGGAGUCUCAGCUAAGACAUUUAUUCUGCAUUUGAAAAUAGAAUAAGCUAUUUCACGCCUGUUAAAAUAGCAAGUCCUAAAUUUGUGCUUUAUUGUCUUAUGAGCCCGGCCUUGGCUGGGGAGGGCAGGGUAUAAAUAAAAAAUUAUUAUUAUUAUUAUUAUUAUUAUUAUUAUUAUUAUUUACACUGUGUUCUUUGGGAGGUUCUCUAGACGUGCUGCUUUUGGCCUUUAAAGCCCAAAUGGCUUGAGACUGGGUUACCUGUAGGACUGUAAGUGCCUAUCUUAACCAUAAGAUCCACUUCAGAAGCCUUGCCUCUGUCACAUGAAGAGAGGCAGGUAACCCCCACCCCCUGGAACUUUUACUGGCACCCCACUAAGGGAGCAGCCCUUGCAGGGAAGCUUAAAAGGUAAAGGAACCCUGACCGUUAAGUCCAGUCGCGGAUGACUCUGGGGUUGCGGUGCUCAUCUCACUUUUGUCCGCAGACAGCUUCCGGGUCAUGUGGCCAGCAUGACUAAGCUGCUUCUGGCGAACCAGAGCAGCACAUGGAAACGCCGUUUACCUUCCCACCUAUUUAUCUACUUGCACUUUGACAUGCUUUCAAACUGCUAAUUGGGCAGGAGCUGGGACCGAGCAACGGGAGCUCACCCUGUUGCGGGGAUUCGAACCGCCAACCUUCUGAUCAGCAAGCCCUAGAAAUGUAUGGAUUAGUUGACUUCAUUUACUUACAUUUGGAUGUAUAUAUUUAAACUUUCUCACAAUAGAGUUGCAAUGAAAAGAGUACAGAAUGGGAGAACUGUACAUACUAAAGUCCAUAAUUUGAUAUGGUUGGAAGAUGAUAGGAAGUGUUAAUAUGGACCCUGGCAUUAUGACGUGGUGCAAUGUCUUUUCCCCCAAUAUUUUGACAGCAUUAUGGCUUAGAUAAGUACCUCACAUGAUUCUGCUAACUAGAAUCCCUUCUUGCCUUCGGCAUCAGAAAGGAAGAAAACGUUGACGCAACAUAUAAAUUAUUGCAUUCAUGAAUUCCUUCCUUGUCAUCUGGAUUACUGCGUAGGCAAAAUUGAGAUAGGGUUAGUAAAUAUGUAUUACUAAAGGAAACAAAGUACAGGAACAGGAAUGUGCAUGUAAGUUAUAUCUUGCUGGUGUUGCAUGAUAAAUGUAAGACCCAAAGAGCACCUGAAACUGCUCUCCAAAGUCUUAAGCAAAGCUCUUUCCCGUCAUCUACUGAAUUCGGUGCAACUCUUGCACACAACUUGUUUUCUUCCAUGGAGUUAGGUCUGUUCCCCAGUGAAGAGGGAUGAUGAUGAUGAUGAUGAUGGUUAUCACCAGUGGAAAGAUUUUAAUAUUGAAUCUGUGAGCUUGGAUGAUCUCUCUUAAAGGUAUUUCUCUGCCCUUGCGCACAUCAUUGUUCUCUGAAAAAUCAGUCCUUCACCACAGCACUAACCUUACUCCUCAAAGCACAGAGAAUGGCAAUGAAUGCUAGGUGCCACAAGAGGGGGCUGAAGUGCAGCAUAGGCUUGAAGGAAGUAGAUUUAUUAAGUGUAUUCCCAGCAGAAACCUCACCUUUUGUCCUAGGGCUAGGAUUGGCAAAUAUGGUCAGUGCUGGAGUACAGUUUAGAAAGAGAAGCUGCUUCUAAAUUGCAUGGUUGUGUUAUAUUCAGAAAACAUCAUUUGCAUUCCAUUUUUCUGAAGCUGGUAGAUCAUCUGGUGGCUAUUUUGCACAUUAAUAUACAAUAAAUCAUGUGUAAACAGACCUACACCUUCUGUGGUAAGCAGUUCAUGGGAAGUAAGGAAGUGGCUGAGUCAGAGUUAGUCUGCCACGCUCACUUUCCUGGGAAAAAGACCAAACAAUAGUUUAGGUUAGCUGUGGGGAACUUUGAAAGGUAGGGUUUAAAAUGUGUGUGGGGAAAACAGUAGUAAGCUUUUUAUAUAUAUAUAAAAUAAUCAUUAGUUUCCAAGCUAUUUUUAUUACUAGAAGACUAAUCUUGGCACUGGCAAACCACCAGCUUUCAAAAUCACCUUAUUGUUCAUAACAAGAUUUUGCUGAUUGCACUUCAGCUGUGUCACUCAGUUUCCGUUAAGCUAGGAAAAUCCUCAUCAGCUCCAAUCAUCUGGUGAGGGAAAGUCUGAACAAAGAGGUAUCUAAAAUAGUCAAGGUCAUGAAGUGAUCUUGUCCUAUACAUCCAUCUUCUUUGCACCAUAUUUUAGUUAUUUUUUAAAAAUGAAAAUGCUUGGAUCACUUUUCUGUAGAAAGCAUUUUAAAGCAGGGGAUUUAAACAAGAGGUGUAAAAGGCAUUGGGUUGUGUCCAAUGUUAGUUUUACUCAGAGUAGGUACAUUAAAAUUAAUGGAUUAAAAUUAGUUGGCAGUUUUUAAGCAGAGGUUAAGAAGAACUAACAUUGGACACAGCCCCUUAAUUAUUGUUAUAGUGUAACGCUGAAGUCUAAUGCAAGAACGAAAGCAAAAAAUCCAACUAUUUUUUCCUUAAAAUAGUUAUUAUUGUUGUUAUUAUUUGUUUCUUAUUUAUUAUUUGUUGUUAUUAUUAUUAUUAUUAUUAUUAUUAUUAUUAUUUGUUAUUAUUAUUAUUAUAUUAUUAUUAUUAUUAUUAUUAUUUGUUUCAUUUCUAUACAGCUUUAUGUUUUUAAGGGGAAAAAUAGUUGGAUCUUUACAGAAGCAGAUUUUAAAAUUGUUUGUGUGUUUCCUGCCUGGGGUUCAUUUGGUAACAAGGGUGUAAUAUAAAUUAAACAAAAACAAACAAACAUUUUGUUUCCUACAAAAAUGGGGGCCUUCAGGGCAGCAUUGCCUUACUGUUAAUUUUAACCUACAAAGGUUUACUUGUUAUUGUGAAAUUAUACACAAAAUUAUAGACACCAGAAGAAGUUGGAAUGUAAACAAUGUAUGAUUUGACCCUCUAUAAGAUGUCCUUAAAAAGAAGUUGUGAGCAGACAAGAUAACUAUGUUAUUGGGUGGCCAAUAUAAAUACUGCAAAUGAAUAAAUUUUUAAAGGAAAUAAAAUUGUACAACAAAUUGUACAACACGCUAACCAUCUGCUUUUGCUGAAGGCUGGUUGCUCUUUAUGCUGAAAUAGUUAUCAGAUUAGUGCUGCUUUCCUAAAUAUGUCUAAUCUCAUUUGAUUCAAGCAACCAGGAGUGAAAGACCAAUCUAGCAAAUGUACAUUUCCUGGACAAAGCUUAUUUAGCAAUUUAUCAUGAUAGCUUAACCAUUUAAUUAGCUAAGAGGAGUGAGUGGGAACUGUGAAGAAUGGGUCUGAACUGGGUGACAGAAUCAGAAGUUCUUAAGUUUUGAUCUGAAAAGCACCCACUAUGUUUCUAUCUGCAAUACUGUCUAUCUGCACAAACAGUAGGGAUAGUUUGUGCACAGGGCUGAUGUAAGACAGUUUGGCACCUGAGGCGAACCACAAAAUGCCCCCUGCCAGGGAAGAAUGAGUGAGUGAAGAUCUACAUCAGGAACAAGGGUGGGAGGAGACGAGCAGUGCCUUCUAUUAUCCGAGAGACGCUUUUAGAGGUAGCAUUGGGAGGGCAGCUGCUGAGGCAGUGGCAGAUCUGGAGAUUUGCAUUCCUUGGCAGAUCUGCAUUUCUUGGACGCCAGAUCUGCUGUUCCUGUGCAUCCUGCCACCUGAGGUGGUCACCUUGCCUUGCCUCAUGGGUGGGCUGGCCCUGUUUGUGCAUAACUAUGCAUGUCAACCAUGGAAGAACAAGGGAAUUUAGGGGCAUUGCAAACAUUAUACAGGGACAAGUGUGGGUUUGCCAUCAAGUUACCCAGUGCUCCUUGACAAGUGCACUUGUACGGCACACGUAUUUGCAAACACAUGUUGUCACAUUACCACUUAACAACUUUAGGUGUAUCUUUAAGACGCUUUCCCAGUAUGUGCCUAAGAAAUCUACAAUGCAAUCUGAUACAUGCUUCCUCAGAAGCAAGCCCCAUUGAGUUCAAUGAGACUCACUGCCAGGGAUAGAAAAGCUGUGGUAUUCCAGAUAUUAUAGGACUACAGCUCCUAUAACCCCUGACCAUUUUCCAUUCUGGCUGGGUCUGAUGGGAGUCGGAGUCCAACAACAUCUGGCGAGCCACUGGUUCCCCAUCCUGACUGCGCACGAUUGCAACCUUCAUGCUCGAACUAUAUGUACUUCUUACAGCGUUGCUUCAUCAAGAGAUGGGCAUUUCUUUUGUUCGGUCUUUCUCCUUGCUAUGAAGUUACAAGAGCCACUGUGUACUUUCCUAUGUAUUUAGGAAAAUUCCAGGAAGCAUGAGAUCAUGGAUAGCUUCUGAGAUCUUUUCAUAGUUCAGAGAAAACUAGCACUAGCAAGAACACUCCGUGGAAAACAUACUACCAGCUUGUAAGAUGCAAGCCAUUUGAAAUAAAGCAGUUAGUUUGUCAAGAUGACACCUUGCUUAGAUUCAAGAGACAAGGUUAGUCCCUAGGCUCCUGGAAUUUUGCAUGGACCUUUCAUACUGUAUGGUGGUAUUCAGGUUCUCUGACAUAUUUAUAUUUUGGGGGGAUUUGAUCUUUACUGAACAUGGUGAGGCAGAGUUAUAUUGUACCAUAACAGUAAUUUGUAACUUUACAAAUACAGCAGUAUCUUAGGUUAAGAACUUUAUUCAUUCUGGAGGUACGUUCUUAACCUGAAACUCUUCUUAACCUGAGAUACCACUUUAGCUAAUGGGGCCUCUCACUGCUGCUGCGCCGCUGCCGCUCGAUUUCUGUUCUCAUCCUGAAGCAAAGUUUUUAACCCGAGGUACUACUUCUGGAAUAGUGGAGUCUGUAACCUGAAGCGUCUGUAACCUGAAGCGUCUGUAACCCGAGGUACCACUGUACUCAAAGCGAUGUAGCAGCUGAGACUUCCAGACAUCUGCUUUGCUGACUCAGUGUGGGGAUCCUUGAAGGUUUUGCUUUUAUUAUGGCAUCUUCUGUUGGCUUUGUGCAGUAUGGUAGCGCUGCAGAGAGCUUGCUGGGGAGACCAUGCAUUAAAAAGGGACUCAAAAAUAAUUUAAACAAGGUUUUAAUAAGAAAAACAAAAACUCCUUUUACACUAAAUACAUUAACAAACAAACAUGACCCAACCACCAACCCAUCCCCCAGGGUAAUGGGAGAGCUAGGUGCUGCUCCUUAUAUACUACACCCAAUUGCCAACACAGCUUAAUCAGUACAACUCGGCAGCACCUGCUAUGUUUCACAGCUGUAACGCUGGGUCUCGUUAUCUUGCUCUGGCCCUUGCUUUGGCCCCUUAAAGACAUACACAUCGGGUGGAACAGUGAUGAACCUUUACAUUUAAAGAAACCAUUCAACAUCUUCAAGGAUAAUACAAAUGCAAAAUUCUAAGACCUUAUGCAUAGAGAGGUGGUAUCACCACCCCAGUUGUUUCCUUAACAAUAGCAAUUGAUCUUAGGACAAUAAAUGUUUUACAGCCUACCUCCUAAUUUGGAAAUAUUUUAGUCAGUAUUUUAUGAGGACCUAUCCUUGGUACCAUCUUCUUAUGCUUUGGAAACUGCUUUUGCACUGGUCCUGGGCAGCUAAGUCCAGUUCAUGCUCAGUUGUUUCAUCUCUAAGGAGGGAUAAAUUUUUCUGGUUUGAGCUUCUGAAGGCAGCAUGACAAUAGAAAACACUUCACUGCUAUCGUGAGUUAAUAAAAACAUUUUUGCUAGUUCUUUCUGCAUUUUGUAUAUUACAAAACAACAUGCUUUUUCCUUCAUUGCUUUGGAAGCUGAAUGUGCAAAGGAUAUGAGCUCAGAUUUGACUCUAAGGCAACAGAGGACAGCACAGUCUUGGCAAUUAUACCAGAAGGGUCUGAAAAGCAGUAGGUCUCAUACAUGGCAUUUGUAUGUUCUGGCCUAUAAGUGGGUUGCAUCCUGUCGUGGAAGGCUUGGAGGACAUUUCCUCAAGAUGACAGACAAGGACUCUUUUAUCACAGAAUAGAAACAGGAAGGCAUACCUUUGCCAUUAAGUUAGUGGAUUUUCAACGCUGUGCUCCUGGGGCUCCUCAAGAGCAUAUUGCGGUUCCUCUAGGAGCAGAUACAUAACAGCAGACAACUCUUCCAGAAAGACAACUUGCACACCACUUCUGAUCAUCCACAAAAGAGUGGAACUACAAGGGAGUGUUGGUUGUUCUCGGGCAGACUCCCAUGAAGGGGUGUAACGAAGCUCCGACACCCUCCAAACUGAGUUGACCCUUUAGGACUUUCUACAGGAUUCUCUGUGCUGUGUGGGUGGUUCCACGGCAAGGUGCAUGGGGGGCGGGGGUGUCUCAGGAGAAAUAACCUAGUUCAGUGGUAGAGCGGAUGCUUGCUUGUAUGCAGAAGAUGCCAGUUUCAAUCCCUGCUGUCUCCAGUUAGAGGCAGCAGGUAACGUUGAAUAUUUUUCUCUGCUCGCGAUUCUGGGAGAGCCAGUAACAAAGAAGACCCUUUGGGAGAAGCGGUCUCAGCAGGUGGAAGUCUGUUUCCUCUGUUCCCCAGCAGACAAACUGGUGUGGCAUGUGGAAAGGGAGUGAUUUUGUUGCGCAUGUAAUGUUACUUGAAUGUCCUGUACCUACCUUGCUUUCCUGCCUUCUGGCUACAGCACUUGGUUCAUCUGAAAUGAGGAGACAAUUGUUUGCAAUGCUUUAGUCAUCUAUAAUCCACCUCAAAGCUCCCUAAAGGCAAAGGGAGGUUUUCCUCUUAAGCUUCAGCAGCCUUUGAAAUACAUUCCUGGGUGUUAAAAUAAUUUAUUCUAAGGGAACUUUAGACUGCAGAUGUUGCUGAAUGGUUUUGUGGAGGAGGGAGGGUGCGACCAUUUGUGAAUCUACCCUGUAUGAUUGGUAUGGGAGGAGGAGGAGGAGGAGGAGGAGGAGAAGAAGAAGAAGAAGAAGAAGAAGAAGAAGAAGAAGAAGAAGAAGAAGAGGAGGAGGAGGAGGAGGAGGAGGAGGAGGGGAAGUUUGGAUUUGAUAUCCCGCUUUAUCACUACCCGAAGGAGUCUCAAAGCGGCUAACAUUCUCCUUUCCCUUCCUCCUCCACAACAAACACUCUGUGAGGUGAGUGGGGUUGAGAGACUUCAAAGAAGUGUGACUAGCCCAAGGUCACCCAGCAGCUGCAUGUGGACACCAGAUUACGAGUUUACCGCUCUUAACCACUACACCACACUGGCUGGGAGACCCCCAAAGGUUACCCAAGAAAUCUUCUAAGCUCUUUGACCUUUGUCCUGAUCUUUUCUUCAGAUACUGAUUUUAAAAAUGUAAGGGCUUAGGUUGUUCUCUUUCUUGAGAACAGACAGAGGGCAAAAAUAUGAAUCAUUACACCAGCUUUCAGGCUCCUUCACAAAGGUAGUCGCUGAGCUAAAAACCAUCAGUUAGCACAGGGACGUGUCCAGGCAAAGUUCUUGCCAAACCGAUUCCUGCACUCUUCCUAACCCUGAACCUUUCAUGCUCAAAAUCUCUGGCUUACAAGACAUCCUGAAAGGCCACUCAGACCCACCCUCAAACCCAGAGCAAUAGUUUGAAUCCAAACCAGAAUUGCAAAUUCACUUCAAACAGCAGCUUGGAUGUAAGCUGUAGCAUGUGGAAACUAUAGUUUGCCCAAUCUGGAUGUCACAGCAAACUAUGGUUAGCACAAACUAGGCAGUGAGAGGGGGAAUUGGAGCAGGGAAGAGAAAGGGGGUGGAAGGAAGAAGCAGGCAAGUCCAAAGCAGAUUCAUAACAGCAGCUUGAAAUCCCCCUCCACCAUGCAUAAUAUAAGCUAUGGCAUUUAUUCCAUAAGUGGGGCUGAAUUUCCAUAUUUUUUGUGGGGGGCAUAAUUUGAGUCUUGAAGUGUGAUGAAAGGAUGCACCCAAUUAGGCAGAGGGAGGUGGCCACUUCAGGCAGAUUUUUGGUAUCAUGAAAAGGUAGCUAAUAAGAAUAUUUAUUCAUUUCAAAAAAUUCACACUACUUGAUUGUUAAAAGAAAACCUCAAAGUGGUUUACAAAAAGGAUAACAACAACAACUGCCAGUAAGGAGGAAAGGUCCUUGUGGCCAUAUCUGCCUCAGAUGUCAAAACAACUUGACUAGUCUUGGGUGCUGUGCAUAUUUUCAACUAAGUUUUCCUCAGAGUAGAUCCAUUAAAAUGAAUGGACCCAACUUAGGCUUUGUACACAUUCCCAUUUACAUACUACUGAUGUCUGAAGUACACAUGAUGUUAGCCAGAAUUCACCUGUAUCCUUUGGCUUCUUGAGUAACACUCCUGCUGGAUGCACUUUCCCUCAAACCAGCUUCAGUCCAUCUGAUUAGAAAACAGAAGCUGCAGUAUUCAGCGCAGGGAUGAAAUAAUGCGUAUCAGGCGAAGACAGCCCUGCACCCUGGUUUGCAUAGGAACAUAAGAAAGCAACUUGAAAUGCAGUUGAGGGAAACGACCUCACUGUAUUUCAAGCCACUAACGUGUACAUAGUGUUAGUUUUCUGUCACAUAACUCUCUGUUCCAGUUCAGAGAAGGUUACACAGCGAACCCAAAGAGGCAACAUAUCUGCAGCAUCUUCUUCUCUCAACGCCUAACCUUUCUCCUAUUUUUGCUUGCCCCAAGGAUCCCCAGCCAGGCUCCUGACUGUGAGUAUUACCUCAUCCCUAGUAUAUGUCUGCUUAGUCUGCUUAGGUAGGAUAACUCUUUCUCUACAAAUUCCUAUUUCCCUUUUUCAAGGGUAGUUUUCCAUUAGGGAGAGGAAGCCCUAGCUGUGCAAAACUGGUUAGGAAACAGAACUUUUGAACCUCUAUUUUGCUUGAUUAUUUGUCCUUACACCCCCUUUUCAAAGGAAAAUCCCGGGCUAUGUGUGUUUUAGGCCUGGUUACCUUGACACACACAGCAAGGUUGUUGUUUUAAAGUUAACAAUCCCAGUUCCAAUCCAGCAGCACAACUGAUUUCCAAGACAGGAAAAUGGCUCGGGUUUUGGGAUGGGGGGGCUUUCACCACCAGCAUCUGCCACUUGAAGCAGUUGCCUCACUCUGCCUGACAGGCCCUGACACAAACCGCUAGCAGGCCAUUUCCAGCAUGCUACAAAUACUCAUCUGAGCAUGAAGAACAAUGGUGAGUCUUCUAGCAGAUUUCCUGCCCAACAGGAGACACCAGAGUUCCAGCUGGGGGUGAGAUGAGAUGACUUAACUGUGUUGUUUUAAUGAUAGAGCUUUGAGAAUAUCACCAGGAAACCAAAAUGUGUAGCAGCAAAGAGUCAUGUUCGUACAUGACUGAGGGGGGAGUUCGCCCAGUGGAGGGGCGAACGGGCAACUUCUAACACAAUACCUUCGUAAGAAGCACCUCUUUAUAAUAAUUGCAGCCUUAAUUUUAAUUCUGAAGCGGACUUGCUGAUCCAAAGGGUGUUUGAAAUGCUGAGGCAGUUGCUUGUGAGAAGGUAUCAUUACCAAAACAUGGUCCUGAGUUGUGUUUCACCCUCAAGCUACUCUGCAGUAUAUGAUCCAGUGAAACCGUGGGCAUGAGCUGCAUAUUCAAGUCUGAGAGCAGAGUCUGCUCACCACAGACCAUGUGAAUAGUAUCUUUUCAAGUGGCCAGAGUUUUUGUGUGGCAAACAAUUUGUCAGGAUCGUGGCUAAUGGCCCCUGGUUAUGGCAGCUCCGCACAAUGAUUUGAACAAAGUAAGUUUGGGGAUUAUAAAGUAUGAAUGGGGUUAUUGAUGGGCUGUUCGGUGAGUUAUUUGAUAUGGCCUCUGCCUACUUGUAAGCAGAAGCUAAAGUACUCGUUCAGGCUGAUCUGGGCUAUUGUUGAGGAGGAGCGGGGAACCUCUUGUCUCAUUUCAGACUGAAGAGUAUGCGUAAUGUCUGUGACAGUUUGAGCCCUCAGAGAAGCAACUGGUUAAACAGAGUAGUCUAUUCAGAUAAAGCGGAGAGAUUCAUUCAGAUGGAAAUAGCUUCUGCAAGCUGAAUGGUUAUGAAGUAUAAGUGGAAAGAGCAAACAAAAGGGGAAGCUGCCUCAGAUGGAUGCAAAUUUUCAGCGCCUCAGCUAAUGCAGACAGGCAAGUCUCUUUCGCUUUGAGCAGCACUUUGCUGGUUUGUACCUGCCGAGAUCUGACCCAGAGGUGUGUUUUUUCCCUGCAUCAUGACACUACAAUUCCACUGGGGUAAGGCUCGGUGCUUCAGGAAGGCAUUUUUUAAAGGAGGCAAUUAAACAGUUGCAGGCCCUGUUGUGGAGAAAAUGAAACUGCCUGCAGUUGAAAUUAAGGUGUGCUAUUGUUACGAAGGUUGCGCACCACCCCCAAUCUCUGUUGAGUUGUAGCAAAAUUCCAGGGAGUUCCAGGCUGUGUAUCCAUUGGGAAUCAAGACGAGCAGGGCAGCAUCUAAUUCCAAGGCAUCUCUGUAUCUCUGUCCCAGCCUGCCUUCAGCCAGCCUGCGAAGAUGGUUCGGACCUUCAGCUGUCCCAUGAAAUUCUCCCUACUUUCUCCUUCUUAUUCCCAGAACACCUUGCCUUUCUGUCUGCUUGCCCUGCCCCUUUGCUAUUCCAAGUCUAGAUUUAAAAAGUGACCAUUUUCCUGUAACCGUACAUCUUCACUCUGCAUAACCUUGGCAACCUCCAUUGCCACAGACUCAAGGAUUUUCCUGUGAUGGGAUAUCAACACUGUUUGUUAUGCUUAACAGCUACUAUCCCCAAGUGAGACCCUGGACUGAAAGUUUAGCCUGUAUUUUUCCACUGGCCUGCAUCUUCCUUUCAAUACACCAAAUAUUAUCUAAAUUCUACCAUUUUAAUAAGUUUUAACACUCACUAACUUUAGCAAUUAUGGUUGCCCUUGCAUUCCCAAACUCUGUUACCCCAAAUCUGUAACAAUAUUGUUAAACUCCACCCCCAGUCUCCACAGCAGUGCAAGAUUCCAGACAGUUUCAGGUGCUUACCAAGUUUCCUUUUGGAAAAUAAUGAGGCACAAAGGAGACUCUGAUGUCUUUAUAAUAUAUGGUUUAUUUACACAUAUAUACAACCUGAGCCUAUAAUGGAGGGGUUCAGAGCAUCAGCCUUCCAAGAGGAUCUCGAAAGCAUGAGAUCUUCAAACUUUCUACUGCCAGGGUCCACCUGAGAUAGCUGAAGAUUACCGACGCCCACCAGUUACAAAAUGGUGGUGCUGGGGCAAAUCUGUCACAAAAUGGUGGCACAUGGAUGUAGAGUUUGGUAUAAUCAGCUGGCGAUUACUGACAUCACUUUCUGCUGAUGUCUAAUUCAUCUUUGAAAACUUUGAAAUUAUUUGCCAUGGCAUGUUCCUUGUGGCAAGGAGUUCCAUACCUCGGCUUUCCUCAAGCCAAGUACAGAUAUUUGCAUUCCAAGUACAGUGGUGCCCCGCAAGACGAAUGCCUCGCAAGACGGAAAACCCGCUAGACGAAAGGGUUUUCCGUUUUUGAGUUGCUUCGCAGGACGAAUUUCCCUAUGGGCUUGCUUCGCAAGACGAAAAUGUCUUGCGAGUCUUGAGAUUUUUUUUCGCUUCCCCCCCCCUUUUUCUAAGCCGCUAAGCCGCUAAUAGCCUUUUAGCAGCUAAGCCGAUAAGCCGAUAAGCCUUUAAUAGUCGCUAAACCGCUAAUAGCGCUAAUCCGCUAAGCCGCUAAUAGGGUUGCUUCGCAAGACGAAAAAACCGCUAGACGAAGACACUCGCGGAACGGAUUAAUUUCGUCUUGGGAGGCACCACUGUAUUAUGAUUCAGCCUCCUAGUUUUAGGCAGAAUUUGCUGAUCCAAAGGUUCUAAGUAGAGAAGACUUUUUCAUUUAUAUAUUUUUCCCCUUCCUACCCCCACAUGCUUCUUAAACUAUUUUCACCCAUCUCCUGUAAUUUCUUCUCCCAUUCUCCUUUCACAUUCAAUUUCUACCUUAAUCUCAGUUUGACUGUGAUUGUGGAUGCCCUGCACUUUCUUUUGAGGGAGGCCAGGAAGUGUUUAAGCUGAUCUUGGGAUAAGAUAGUGAAGUGUACCAAAGAGGGCACAAUCUGCACCUACACGUUGCACUGGAACUUGAAAUACAGAUCCAGAUUCAGUGCAGUUAUUGCAUCCAGCACAUCUGCAGUAUGGACAAAGGCAUUUUCACAGUUCACCAGUCACAAGGAAAGGUCUCAAUAAUGAACCAAACCCUCCGAGUGCCUUUCACUUCUCUUUGUGGAUAUAACAACCUGAAUGACUAACUCUGCUCCAGGGUCCUUGAUUAUUCCAUUGAAGUUUAAGUUUCAGAAGCCAAUUUUUCUCCUUCCAUUUUUGGAAGUGCUUCUAAUUUAGGGAUUUGGCUUCAUUACAGCUCUUUUCCCCAUUUAUAAUUAUUGUUCCUGCCUAAUCAAAUCUCUUGUGGAGGGAAGCGGUGCUUUAUUUAGAAUCUAAAACGUUUCUCACACUGCAGCCUAAAAUCUGCUGUCUUUUGCCAAAUGUUUCCAAGGCAAUUUCUGUAGUGCAUUUCGAACAAAUUUAUAGUCUUGGUGUGACGUGUAGGAAGAAAAUGCAUUGCAUGCCUUUGGGUUUAUCCAUUUGGCAGCAAAUGCUGAGCUCUGAUGAGUAUGAUGCUGUCUCAGCUUCAGGGCGUACAGAAACACUUGAAAAAUGUCUGUCUAAAUCCACUUAGCAUGCUUUGCUACUUUAUGGCCAGCUUUUGUUUUUUAAAAAAGCUUUUUGGUAUGCAUGUCCAGGACUAAGGGCAUGAAGAUAUUUUAUCCAUUUUUCAAAUACUUUUUGUAUAGAAGAGAUAUUGAAUCUUAUUGAAUUAUAUCAUGGGCAAUAUUCUACUCCAGUGAUUCUGAAAUGUUUUAUAUUCAGGCACAAUUUUAUUUUUUUACACUAAAAAAUGUCUACAUUCUUUCAAGCAGUGUUGUGCCACCACAUUUUGAAGAAGUACACAUUUUGGAAAGCACAUUGCCAUCUAAAUAAUCCCCCCUAUUACCUAACUGCAUCACUGAUCUCAGUCAGCUCUUAGAACUACCAUUGCAACUGUGUGAUAAACAAGUUAUAAUUGGGCCAGUUCGGAUACAGGGAUACUGGUUUCAUAUGAAGCUGGGAAUGACUGUUAGCCUUUCAAGUUCAUUUCUCAUGCCUUCCCUCUCUCCUUCCUCAUAUGCUGGUUUUAGCACUUUGAUCUCAGUUAAAGCAAAUCCAUUUCCUAAUAAAUCCAACACUGGAAACUCUGCCUUGUGGUGGAUCUUGGGGUCUCAAAUUUCAGCGGUGCCCUGUACAACGCCAAAACCCGGCACCUCUCCACCUCUUGCAAAACUAUUGUAAAUCAUAUUUGUGGGGUCCCUGGCGUUGCCCCCAAGACUCAGUGCCCAGUGUGACUGCACCAGUCGUGCUCCCCCAAAUCCUCUUCUGCUGUGGCUAACCAGGAUCUGAAACCAGGAUUAAAAUGUGAUUUCAGACCCUGGUUAGUAAACUGAAAGUAAUGCUACAGUUUCUCAUUUCAGGCAUAACAGGGAAACCGUGGUUUUUUAAAAAUAUAAUAAUAAUAAUAAUAAUAAUAAUAAUAAUAAUAAUUUAUUUAUACCUCGCCCAUCUGGCUGGGUUUCCCCAGCCACUCUGGGCGGCUUCCAACAAAACACUAAAAUACAAUAACCUAUUAAACAGGGCUGCCUUCAGAUGUCUUCUAAAAGUUUGGUAGGUAUUUUUCUCUUUGACAUCUGGUGGGAGGGCGUUCCACAGGGCGGGUGCCACUACCGAGAAGGCCCUCUGCCUGGUUCCCUGCAACUUGGCUUCUCGCAGCGAGGGAACCGCCAGAAGGCCCUCGGCGCUGGACCUCAGUGUCCAGGCGGAACGAUGGAGGUGGAGACGCUCCUUCAGGUAUGCUGGACCGAGGCCGUUUAGGGCUUUAAAGGUCAGCACCAACACUUUGAAUUGUGCUUGGAAACGUACCAGCGUUGAAGCCCUGGAGCCAGUGCAUGAUGGGUAAAAGUGCAUCGGCUCAUUGUCUCUUAGUGUUCCACCUUCCCCUUUGCCCAGUGAGUCAAAGCUUGGGUGUUGCUAUUGUGCUUUCUCCCCAAGGCUGAGGCUUCUGCAUCUCCUCUUAUGUGAGCCUGCUGUUGUACAGGUAGCACUAGGGAGUCUGCCAGCAGCUCUUCAUGGUCUCCAUUAGCAGAUCCAUCCCUGCAUGGCAGGGACUGAGCCUCAGGCCCAUGAAUGGCAACACAUUAUUCUAUUAUUUAACUGCCUCUCUGCUGGUUAUUGGCGCUUAAAUGAUGCUCAUCAAUUACAGUGAAAAUAACGAUCCUUGUGGCAGUUUCUCCCAUGAGCUCCCAUAAAAAAAUGCCUUAUCCUAUCAGCUGUUGCUCUAAGGCAGAAGCUACAGUAUAGCACAGAAGUCAGCAAACUUUUUCAGCAGGGGGCCAGUCUACUGUCUCUCAGACCUUGUGGGUGGCUGGACUAUAUUGGGGGAGGGGAUGAACGAAUUCCUAUGCCCCACAAAUAACCCAGAGAUACAUUUUAAAUAAAAGCACACAUUCUACUCAUGUAAAAACAACAGGCAGGCACCACAAAUAACCCAGAGAUGCAUUUUAAAUAAAAGGACACAUUCUACUCAUGUAAAAACAGGCUGAUUCCCAGACCGUCCAUGGGCCAGAUUUAGAAGGCGACUGGGCUGGAUCCGGCCCCCGGGCCUUAGUUUGCCUACCCAUGGUAUAGCACAACCAGUUGCUGCUGGAGGUUACCAGUGGAAGAAGGAAAGAGGAAUAGGAUUGGCUGGAUGCUGUAAAAACAAAGGAAUAAAGUGAUCUGUUGUUUAUAGUUCACUUAACCAGUAUCUUCUCUGCCUUUGGCCCUGAAGAUUUUCGGCAAUUUGGGUUCCGUCCACACAACAAAUUUAGUGUGACUUCAUUGUCACACAUGUCAAAGCCCAAUGUGGACAGUGUGAAUUCUUUUUGGGUGUUUGGGAGAAUCAACUGCAUAACCUACUUCGUAUUUCUUUUCUUUUAAAGAAAUGUCCAUGCUGUCUUCACAGCUGAAGCAUAGUUAUGCAAAACUGCAUAAACUGAACUGUGGGCCAAAACGGACAUGAUGCGGGUGCUCAUGUGAACAGGGUCUACCACAUUAAAACAAACAAACAAACAAUCAUAGCAGCAGUGGGCAACACUGAUUCAGACUGAGAGUGUGGCAGUGUGAAGGAAGUUGACCCUAUUGGGGUGUCGUGAACCCCUCCACAUCAUAGCAACAGCAACGACACCCUAAUAGGGUCUUGUUUCUCCCAUAGCCACAGCUUAGGAUUCAACCAGACAUCAGACAUCAUGUUCUGACCCUCUCUCCAGCUUGCUGCCUUUACCAGACUGCAACCUUUUACCCCUCCAACUCAAACUCUAAACCCUGGCUUUUGUUCUUCUAACCAUCUCUCUCACCUGAAGGAGGAGCCCUACCCAACUGCCUUCUGGCACAAAGGCCCCACUCAUUCUGCCUUCCUAAUGGCUGAUUGCCUUCUUUUUGUCUUCCUAAUGGCCUCUCACCCAAGGCAAGUUAUUGGUCAGGAAACUGGCCUGGCUUAUAUUUAAACAUUUGUUUUGAUUAGAUUCUAACACCUACUGGAGCCAGGGAAUUUAGGGUGUAUAGCACCCACAAACUCAUAACAGUUAAAUGUGGUUACCCAUGUGCUUUGCUUAGCUGAGCUAAUAGCAACUCAGAAAAUAGUGUGCAGGUGAAGGGGUUAACACAUUACCCCAUGCUGGUGGGGUAGCAUGGUUGCUAUUAUUUAUUUAUUCCCCAGGCCACACGUCCUUCUAAGCCACACCCACUCUCUCUAGGCCACAUGUGUCCCCAACCUUGAAGUAUGAUGACAUCCUUGAAAAUCUGGUAACGCCUCUUGCUUGACUGCAUGGAGGAUAGAGAGGAGUACAUGUGGAGAAACUAUCCUACUGUACAAAUAUAAAAUUUAUAUUCAUUUCUCUAUCCACAGUUGUCUCUGGUUCACCUCAGAAUGAAAAACAUUUCCCAUUCCCAAAACAGAGGAUGCCUUCAAUUAGAGGUUUGUUCUCCUACUGUUCUUGAAGUGGAGGAUUGUUGUCUGUGAAGUGCAACGAACAUGGUCAUCCAAAUGCAUGGAACAGACUGCAAAAUGUGAACAGCUAGAUCAGCUUGUUUAGUUAUAGAUAGAAAGAAUCUUUAUCUGCUCUGGGUAUGGAAAGCUGCAAGUGUGGGAAGAAAUGCUCCACAGAGCAUUGACACGAAACAGUUAAGUAUAUAUAGAAAGCAGAGUUUUGUGAGGCCUAGCCAUAGAGCUCUUGUAUUUAUUAGAUUUGCUUUUGGGUUUUCUUUAGCACAUUAAUAGCAGAGCAAAUGCAGCUGGCCCUGGGAGAUUAGAUAGCUAUUGUUUAUUAUUUCAUUCAUUGUUCAGUAUGUGCUCUUUUCUGUAAAUCCUCCAAUUCCUUUGGCAUUUCUCUUUGUCCCGAGGUUAAAAGUGCAGCAAAUCUUUAUACAAACUGCAGCAGAUCUGCAUUGCAAGUGUUUGUCAAGCAUGAGGGUUGCAAUCCUCAACACACUAAGAAGGGCAGGUCUCAUACUGAAUGCCACAUACUUAAAAAAAAAAAGCUUUACAUUAAUAAACCUAAAAUACAGUAAAAUUCGUUGAAUCCAAUUGAUCUGUACAGGACAUUAACAUCUUUGGAUAAAACAGGAGUGUGUGGGUGGCGGGUAAAAUAGUCAGGAGAGGAGGCACAAAACAUGUUAAUAAUUAGGAGCUUUGGAAAACCAAGGUUUUUGGAUCAGACACCCACAUAAGCAUUGCAACUGCCUUGCUGGAAGAAACCAAAGUCCACCUAGCCUGGCUUUGCAAUUCCAACCAGCAAAAUGCUUCUGGAACCUCACAAAGCAUCAAGGCAUGAGGUCAGGAGAGGGAGGGAGAGGGAGAGAGAGAGAGAGAGAGAGAGAGAGAGAGAGAGUGCUGUGGGAUAUACAGUGCUCAAACAAAAUUAAUCUGGGCCUGGAGCAACUUUGUAAAUACAAGACCCCGUCCCAAAAUCCUUUGUCUGCCCUUGAGCUUCUUUGGGUCCUUAUUUUUUGUUAAAGCUUCUUACAUCUUUGGCAAAUAAGGUCAAAUGACAUUUAGCUGCUCUUCCCUUGCCCCUGGAUCAAGGGUCGAUUCUCCUAUAAACUCAGGAAACUACAGGCCCCAACUCACACAUAUUUUGGGGAGCUGUAAAUGUUAUCUCAGUGCCCCUAAAUUACUGAUGGUGCUGCCUACUGCUGUGUUCUGAUGUGGCCUCUACCUGCCCAUGCACAGAAAAGACCAGCAGGAACUAAGGAAGUCUGGGACUUGUAGUUCUUGGAGAGCGUGUUGCACAUGGAGAGGCACAAUAACUCUGUGUAGAGCUUGAUGGGUUAAUUGAAGGCAUCUGAAGGCAGCCCUGUUUCGGGAAGCUUUUAAUGUUUGAUGUAUUAUAGUAUUUUAAUAUUUUUUUGGAAGCCGCCCAGAGUGGCCGGGGAAGCCCAGCCAGAUGGGCGGGGUAUAAAUAAUAAAUUAUUAUUAUUAUUAUUAUUAUUGCUCACUCUUCAGAAUAUUGCUUUAUUUUGUUCUGAGAAUGGGCAAAAUGUGAUGGGGGGUGCUGAGGAUCAUUUGGAUGGACUUGAACUGCGAAUUGAACAUGGACUGAACUAGUUUGUUUUGUAAAGGGACGAAUCUGAACUGGAAUUAGUUCAUUUUUGGACACCUUGAACUUGAACUAGAGCUUGUUCCUUUUUGAAAUGAGCUCUGCAAGCUCUGGUGAUGCCUAUCUGUUGGUGCUGCCCUUAGAUUCAUGCAUCUACUACCUCUUUCAUUUCAUUUUAUUUUAUUUUACUUGCCUCUUUGCGAACAACUGAGUCAGCAGUACCCCAUAUACGCACUUGAUGAACUUCAAGCAUGUCUAUAAAUGUCUCGCUGGAUCAAGGCCCAAAUGCUUUAAUGAUUGAGGUAAAGGUAGACUUUGCAACAUGCCUGGAAGGUUUAACUUUUCUGAACUUGGAUGAAGCAAAAGGAUAAGAGAAUUGCAGGGCUUAGUGUGGGGUUUCACUGCAUAGUAAUUUAUUUUCAAAAUUUGUUUUAAUUAAGAGGCUUAAGGGAAGUGAUAUUUAAAGGCUGUGAUUUUGACAUCAUCGUACACCCCUGGCGGGGCAGGCGAGAUAUAUAGAUUUGGUUAGGAAGCGUUGGUUAGGACUUCCUUAAGUCCUCCCAGUGAGAAAGAUGAAUGUGAACUGCUAGAAAUUGUUAAAUGCAAAUGGAAGGGGAGAUGAGAAAACAGGGGGAAUCAAUUGUGCUUGCUUCCUAGGACUUCCCAGCUAAAUUUUCUUUAUGUUAUAGGUAUAUCAGAAGUUGCCUUAUUUCAAGUCAGACCAGUGGUCUGUUUUAGGUCUGGUUGUAAUCCUUGGUGGCUUCCAAAAUAUUGCUAACAGAGCUGUCAUUUUUCUUGCUUGAAUGCUUGUUCAACAUUUCCAGUAAUAAAGGAACCAUGUACUUGGAGUAAUCUUGAAACUGCUUUAUGUCAUGCCUUCCUUGAGCUUCCUCCAGCCCUCAAGUCUGUUUAAAAAUUGUGAUCUCAGCAGUGUGGGCUGUAACGAUGUUUUUGACACGUUGCUGACCAUAUGACAUCAGCCUGUGGGCAAAUGUGUGUGUAACAUAUUUAGCAUGUAAGCAGGCUAGAACAAGUGGUUUUGAUGCCAAGAAGCCAUAAUUUCCUUAGUUUUCUCUUUUUGCAUAACAGGCAGAAAGAUUUUUGCUUGGGUAAUGGACAAAAGAGGCAAAUCUCGAGGCAUGAAGCAGAGCAGAAUACAUUUUCUGUAAGUGGAAGCAUGUUUCUUAAAGCCCAGCAGCUCAAGCAACCAGGUUGUGUAAGGAAAAUCAAACAUUAUUCACAUGUAAAUAGUGGCAAAUUCCAGAGUAGGCAUUUAAAUCAGGAUCCGUACAUACUGUUAUUUUCCCCCAACACCAGAUAUAAUGUAAUUCAAAUCCUGUAACCCUCCCAUUUGUUUCCCAUAAGAAAAUCUCUAAACUUUAUUAGUGAGUAAAUCCAGCUACUGUAGUGUGAUGUCUGCCAAUGUGCUUGUCCUAGCCAUGACACUAUUUUUGUGUUUUAGGGCUUGAUCUUUUUGCUGUUUGCAGGGAGGGUGUGCUCUCAUGCCACUUUCCCUGAGUUCUGGUGGCCCUGCAGCUGAUUCAGAUGCAAUUUGCCGUCUUUAAAAUCACAGGAAAGAAGGAUUGAUUUGAGCAAGAGAGAUUUUAUCUGCUUUAAUCUGUUAAAUGGAGUUGAUUUAUUAACAGCGCUAUCUGCCCUGUCCUGUAGAACAGAGACAAGGAGCUUCUGGUUCUACAGAUGUUGCUGGACUCAGCUAGCAUAGUCAGUGGUCAGGAAUGAUGAGACAACAUCUGUAGGGACGCAGGUUCCCCACCCCAGCUGUAGAACCUUCCCAGACAGAGAGACAAUGGACAGUGCCCAUCUGGUGCUGUACAUAAACUGGGGCUAUUUUUAUUUGCUUAUUUAUGUAGCAUCAUGUAUGUACAUAAACCUUAGAAAAUAAUGAGAGGAAGAAGACAGAUCCUAACCCCAAGGAGUUUACAAUCUAAGAAUAGACACAAGGGAAGCAACAGUUGGAGGGGAAUGGAAGUAGGUGUAAACAGACGAAGAAUAUGUGAUUGCAAUGAAAAUAAUCACACAUUCUUCCCCUGUUUACACCUACUUCCAUUCCCUUCUGACUGCUGCUUCCCUUGUGUCUCUGUUCAGAUUGCCAACGACUUCUUGGGGAAAUGUAGGCUGAUAAUCUAGACUGAUGAUUAAAGACAAAAUGAUUUCAGAGAUAGCCUUGAGUCAGUACUAGCUUCUGAAGGGUGGGACACACACACUUCUUCUUCUUCUUCUUCUUCUUCUUCUUCUUCUUCUUCUUCUUCUGCGAUUACUCAUAGGCGAGUAAGAUUGUCUUCCAUAAACAUGGUUUUAACAAUGAGUCCAUAAGUGACUGUGGAGGCCAAUUCUGGAACCACGUGUCCUUCCGUGUGCCUUCCUCUUAGCACAUUUCUCCCUUGCGUCCUGGGUUCGAGUGUCUUCAAAGCCCAUGACACCUUUGGUAAAGGCUGUUCUCCAACUGGAGCACUCGCAGGCCAGUGUUUCUCAGUUGUUGGUGUUUAUACUACAUUUUUAAAGAUUAGCCUUGAGACAGUCUUUAAACCUCUUUUGUUGACCACCAGCAUUACGCUUUCCAUUUUUAAGUUCGGAAUAGAGUAGUUGCUUUGGAAGACGGUAAUCAGGCAUCCGCACAACAUGACCAGUCCAACGAAGUUGAUGUUGAAGAGUCAUUGCUUUAACACUGGUGAUCUUUGCUUCUUCCAGUACACUGGUAUUAGUUCGCCUGUCUUCCCAAGUGAUCCCUCCACACCAGAGAGUUCCAUUCUUCAAUAGGUAGGCAGUCAACAUUGUGCAGCAUUGGACUGGAGAAUGUUUCUUUCUUUGAGAUGCACACAAAAGGCUGCACUAUACAACUGAAGAAGAGAAAGAUUGAGUUCACACAGACAGCAAACUGGAAGAUAAUACAGUAUGCACAACAGAAGUGCUUUCAUAGUUAAAUAGACCAGAACCUUUGCCUGAGGGGGUAGGAAGGUAGGAAUUAACUGUUCCUCCUUGGUUGACUAGUGUGGCAUCCUGGAUACAAUGGAUUUGUUCAGUGCUUGAGGUCAUUCUUCUAUCUAUGAACUAUCUUACAGUUUUAGAAGCUGUUUCCUUACUGCGAUUGCUCCCAACCCUGUGCCACACGAAGGUUUUAUAGUAAAAUAUAAUACUAAAUGAUUAGACAUUUUCAAAUGUGCAAGUCUACCAUUAUGUUCCAGCUUUUUACAGGUCAUGGAGGUUAAGAAAAUUAAGUGGAGGAUGUUUCCUAAAUGAAUUGGCAGCUCCUUUGUCCAGUCCACCAACUUCUGGGUGGCUGGGUGGGAACAAUUAGGUUUUUCAGAUCAUGGCACAAUUUAAAAUAGAAACUGCUUGCAGGUGGUUCUUUGCCAUACACUGACAGUAAUUAAAUGGUGUGGUCUGUGUUUUAUGGCCCUACAGCUUAGAUGCCAGUUCUUGUAAACAAACAAACAAAAAUUCUCCCCAAUAGACCUGGAUGUUAAGAACUCCUUCCUCAAAGUAAAUUCCAAAGAAUGUGUCUUUUAAUGAUCCUCAGAGACAAGGCACAGAGCGAGAGAGAAAAGUGAAAAGUGAUAAUGAACUAAAAGAGUUUCUCACAGUGAUUUCAAAUGGUUAGGAGGGUGGUACAAAUAAGUAACAAGAAUUAGCUAUUGAAAAACAACCUUUUGAUAACAUUGUAUUUUGGCAAUACAUUCAUUUGUUAGGUGUUAAUUCUUAGCAGUAACUAUGGAAAAAUGAGCAGUGUUUGUUAUGUUCUGGGAUUAUGUUCUGGAUGCUUUUAAUUUAUGGUCAUAAAAUGUUGGAUCAUUUUUUUAAAAGAAUAUUAUUUCUUAAAAAAUGAACAAAGUCAAUAUUUUCUCAUCCAUCUUCUUUUUUGUUGGGCUGGUUCCAGGAUUUGCUCCACCUGACAAAAGCUGAACUGAAGAAAAUGGGAGCUGAGGAUCAAAUCCUUUCUAACAUCUUGCUCCUUAAGGAAACAGAAAUAAAAGAUGGUAAGAAGUAGGUUCUAUCUAAAAUUAAUUUGUCAGUCUUAUUGGUGAAUUUAAAACGAACAUUUCGUUACUGGCUGCCAAUUCAUUUCCGUGGUCAGUUCAAGGUACUCACAUUUGAACACUAAAUGACUCAGGCCCCAAAUGUCUGAAAGAUCAUCUCCUUCCUUACAGACACUCUGGAAAAUUAAGAUUGGCAGAUUGGGGCCUUCUUGGUAGUUCGUUCACCUUCAGAGGUUCAGGUAGGUAGUCGUGUUGGUCUGACGCAGGUGAAAUUAAAAAAUUGUCCAGUAGCACCUUAGAGACCGACUAAGUAUCUGAAGAAGUGUGCAUGCACACGAAAGCUUAUAUCCCAAACAAACUUAGUUGGUCUCUAAGGUGCUACUGGACAUUUUUAAAAUUUAUUUCACCUUCAGAGAUGUGUUUUAAUGUUGUAACCUUCCCUGAAGAAGAACCAGGAUAGAUUCCGCAAGGGUAAAUCCAGUUUCUCAGAUAAUCCAGUCAUUUUAUGGUAUAUUAACGGUACAAUUGUUUAUCUUUAUUGCUUGUAGUUUACUUAGUCCACAGUCUGAAAUUCCAAUGAUCAGCCCAUCAGGGAGCAUUUCAGAAGUGCUGCACACCUGCCUUCUGAAGCGCCAAUGAUCAGUUGAUCAUUGGGAGUUUAAAGCACAGAACAAUGCUCUUAUGUUCUUAAGGUAAACAGUUAGGAUUAAAUCACUUUAAUCCUCUCUUGUGCUUUUAAAGUAAGUGUCUGACAGCUGAUAGUGGGGAAGAGAGGCAUUUGUAAUGCACAUGAACAUUCUGAUGCAUAGGUUUCAUAUACAAGUUACACACUUUAUUUUGCAUCCUGUUGGAAAGAUGAUUGUGAUUCUGAAAGACACAGCAAAUUCAUCUCCUAAUAGCAUUUUGAUUGUGCAAACUGUGGAUUAACAGUCCCUACCAGCAAAUCAGCCUUCUUUUUGCAUUACUUCGUCCCUGCCUCUAUUUUACUGAAAGGGGCGAUUGAAGCUGAGCAGAGGAAAGCACAGAAAAGAGACUUAUCAUGCAAGAACUGUCCUGAACAAAUGUGAAUGUUGACAUCCUCUGCAGAUUCAGUGCCAGCUUAGGAUCAACAAACUCAAGAGCUUUCCUCAGGAAUGCAGAGGAGAACUUUUAAAAAACAAAACACAUAAUCACAGAGGAGUCCUGGGCGAUAAGAGAAAUAUGAGAAAAUGAAUGCCUCUCUGCAAUUAAAGCCAUUAUCAAAAGGGAUAGUGUGUGCUUUGUAGGCACUAUUUAUCCAUCAAAUUCUUUUUCCAUCGAUCUGUGGUUUCAUAUUAAUUUUUUUCUUGAAAACUUUGCAUAUAUAUGUGUGUGUGUGUGUGUGUGUGUGUGAGAGAGAGAGAGAGAGAGAGAGAAUGGGCCUCCCUGGUGAAUUUUUUAAUCCCCCUUCCAGCUUUCAGUAAUGUGCUGCCAUGCUGCUUUUGAAACUCUUCUUCAGAAGCAAUUUGCCUUAUAUUUUAGUCUUACUAAAACUUUGCUUUGAUCGAGUGGUGAGGGUUGGCAGUGUGUGUGGCCUAGAUGGCACCAUUCGGAUUGUGGGCAGUUGCAGGAAGUGUGGCAGUGUGAAUUAUGUUGGCUUGUUACAGGAUAAGGGGGUUAGACAUCUGAGAGCUCUACCUCCUUCCAAUCAGCUUCGGCCUUGUAUACCUGAAGGAGCGUCUCCACCCCCAUCAUCCAGCCCGGACACUGAGAUCCAACUCUGAGUGCCUUCUGGUGGUUUCCUCAUUGCGAGAAGUGAGGUUACAGGGAACCAGGCAGAGGGCCUUUUCAGUAGUCAUGCCCACCCUGUGGAAGGCACUUUAGCUGAUGUCAAACAGAUAAACAGCCAUGUGAUUUUUUAAAAGACACCUGAAGACAGCCCUGUUCAACCUGAAGGCACCCCUGUUUAGAGGAGUUUUUAGUGUGUGGUAUUGUGUUUUUACUAUUUUUUGUUGGGAGCUGCCCAGAGUGGCUGAGGCAACCCAGUCAGAUGGGCAUAUAAAUCAAUUAUCAUCAUCAUCAUCAUUUUCCCAACAACAUGUCAGUGGGUGCCAAGUGGGCUUCUCUGCAGGACCAGAAUGGGAAUGGCAAAUUCAAGCAUCCUUGCUGAGGCCCUCUCGUCUGUUGCAGAUCAGGAUUUCAUGGUCUCCAUGACAACAAUAUCUGUCUCGAUUGAUAUCCGGCCUCUUUCAUUUGGCUGGUCAUACACUUGAUUUGGUGUUAUAUUCUGAACAGGGUGGUGAUCAUGGGUGGAGAAGUUUGACAUGGUUCCCUUGGCAUGGAUAGAGCUCUGCCUGGCAGGUUUUAGGCUUACUGAGUGGAGGGCUUAUUAGAACAGUCUGCCCUAGAGAAAAAUAGAUCCAGUCCAGAUUAAGUCCUGCUGGCUCUGGGGCAAUGUAAUGCUGGCAGUCCUAUCAAAGCACUUGAUAACAUCUGGAAUGGGGAAACUACAUGAGCAGUUGCUAUGUUCACUCCAGAGUGAUCUCUCUGUUUGGUGAGCCCGUGUGGCUCCCUAGUUUUCUGAGCAAUGAAACUUUUCCCUUCCAGCAAAGGAAAAUGCAUGAUGAAUUUGACUGAAGUUGGGCUAAAGCUCAUUUCAGAGCUCAUCUCAUGGCAGCGAUGGUGGAAAAUAAAUCUUGGUUUUCUGGCACCAUUUUGUCCGUACAGAGUUGUCUGGCAGAAUUGUUCCAAGUGGCUCCUGAGACGUGAUGGUUACCUGGUGUGCCCUAUUUGCCAAGCACUUUGUAGUCAACAUCUCUGAUAGACAUGUCUGCCUUGACUCCAAAUUGAGGGCAGCACCAGAUGCAGCUGCUUCUCCUGUUUCUAUGGAUACUUCUUGGUUUGCAUAGCCUGUGGAUGUAGACGGAAUUAUUGAAGUUGGGCGCUUCAUCACUUGGCAUGCUCAAUCCUUGCCCUUCCUGGUUGAUUAAGGAAGCCAGCGCUGGGUAGGCUGAUUCGGUUGGGGAGCAAAGGCCAUCGUUCCAACAGUAUUGAAGGAAGUGGUGGUAAAACCAGUAUGGAAAAAGAUCUUCCUGCCCUUUAUAAUGUUCAUCCAGCAGCAUCAAACAUCUCACUUUUGGGCAAGGCACUCAAGAAUAUGGUGAGAAAUAUGUGUGUGAAAAAGGAGGGGCUGGGGAGUUCACAAUUCCACAUCCUACUCCUCAUCUCUUGAUCACAGCUAGAGAAUAGGAUAUUAUGUCGUUGCUGUGCAUGCUGAGUCCCUUGUUUGUUGAUAAAUAUGUGGGAGUUUCCUUAAUUGCACAUCUUAUGUCGCAUGUGCAAAUGAGAGUGCCUAGUGUUGACUGAGGGAACUCAGAAGCUGGAAGGGUUUCCACCUUGAUGAAAAGCAGUAGAAUCAAUGGCAGGAACAAUUUCUGCUCCUGUUUUUUAGACACAAACUGAACUACAAGUUGUAGAACUAAGAUCCUGAACUACAUCUUUGCCUUGUUUCACAGCAUUGCUGGUGAAAGAAUAGGUUCAUCCUAUUCAAAGGGCCUGGGAAUCUUGCUUUUAAAUAGAUCUGUUGUGUCAGUUAACUGUGACUACAGGCUAUUGUUUUCAUAGUGGGGAUGAGAAGCUGUUAUCUGGUCUCCAGCCCAUUGUGAAGAGUUUUUGUUUUGUGUCUGCUUUGGAUAAAGUGCUGUGUCUAGGAGCAAGAGUGCAUGAUCAGUUACUCUGGGAAUGCUUGCUUUUAGCACUUGAACUACACUUGAGCAUCAAAUUAUUGUUGCUUUUUAUCCUUCUGUUUGCAAAAUAUAUUUAUUUAAUUUUUUUCUACGUAAAGUUUUCCCAACACUGCAGGAUAAAAUGAAUAGAUUUUUAAAAAAGCAUACUGUUUCUGAACCCAGUUAUUUCAGCAAAUCCGUACCGAACUGAAAUGUAAAAUCUCUCAAUAAAUUUCAGGUAGCUAUGCUGAUUCAUUUGAAACAAAUCCAAGAGCAACAGCAACAUGCUGCUACAAUUGUAGCAUUUCAAAAACAAUCAAGUAAACAUUCAUAGCAAAGUAGUGAUCACCGUCUGUUCUUCUGAUAAUGUUUAAAAUCCUCACUAUCACAGCAAGUGUGUGUUUGAUUGGCUUUGAUUUGCAGAUUGCAGACUGGAGCCAAGCCCUCUAGUAGCUUUGCCAGCCAACAGAACAUUCCACUUCAAACUCUUCCAUAUUAUUAUUCAUCCAAAUAUUCUAUCAGUACCUGUGUGGUCUUCUGAAGUCACCCUUCACAGCUAUCAGAACUGGAGACUUCUAGACCAUCUUGUUACCUUUUUUUUAGAAGAGCUGAAUGCGUAGACCUAAGUUGCCAAAUAUGUAAACAAACAGAUCUGGCUUUUGUAUGUCGUUAAGGAAGUUCUAUUUGGGGUGGGGUGGGGAGACAAAUGACUCUACUAUCCUAUCCUUUGAAGAUUCCAGCUGUAUCCUUAUUUUUUUCUGUUUAGAACCCUACUGAGCCACAUCUUUGUGGACAUCACAAACUGAGUCAAAAAUAUCACUGACAUCUUCACACACAAAGAUAAGCUAUUGCUCAUUUUGUAUUACAGUGGUACCUCGGGUUACAUACGCUUCAAGUUACAAACGCUUCAGGUUACAGACUCUGUUAACCCAGAAAUAUUACCUCAGGUUAAGAAUUUUGCUUCAGGAUGAGAACAGAAAUUGUGCAGCAGCGGCAGCAGGAGGCCCCAUUAGCUAAAGUGGUGCUUCAGGUUAAGAACAGUUUCAGGUUAAGAAUGGACCUCCAGAAGGAAUUAAGUAUGUAACCAGAGGUACCACUGUAUUGCUGGGAGAAACUGAAGCAAUUUCUAUCCUUGCAAGAUAUCAUGUUUCUCAUUCGAAGUUCCAUACAGUGAGAGAGAGAGAGAGAUCCAGCCAUCCUUCAAAUAGUGGGAAUAUCUAUAAGGUGGUCAUUAUGACACGCUGAGCUUCAAUCUUGAGUUGCCCUUUUGUGAAUGGAAAGGAACUGUGACCCAGAGUCCAAUUCCUUUUUUAGAUGACGGGGACGGUAGCCCUGAGUUGAAAGCAAUAGUCCCAUUCUUAACUCUGGAAAUGGUGCAAAGUCCUCCUGCAUUUCAUUAUUUUCAUUUGCAAGUACUAAUCUGAAGAAAUGGAAAACUAAUAGGAAGUAAUGCUGCAUGAUUUGAAGAAUGAUAUGAGUGAUACAUGAUCACAUGACCCGAGUAAUUGUCAUCAUUAUGUUGCACUUGGUUGUUUCAUGAGGAAGUGUGGUGUUUCUUUUGCUGUACUCAUAGUAAUGUGACCACUGAAAAAUCAUAUGAUAUACCAAUGUGUGCAUUCAACGAACUGGUAUUUUGUACCAUUUAUUAACUGCUUUUAACUAGUGUAUUUUUAGACUGUGUUGAUGUAUUACAUUUUCUGAGCCACAGUCUCAUGGUCACCAGACCACAAAUGCAGAAACACGGGAAGGUGCCUUAUAUCAGGUCAGAUUGUUUGUCCAACUAGCACAAUAUUGUCUAUUCUGGCUGGUAGUGGCCCCUGGAGUCUCAGGUGAGAUCUUUUGGGCAAAAGAUUCCUGCAUUGCAGGGGGUUGGACUAGAUGACCCUCGGGAUACCUUCUAACUUUACAAUUCUCUGUUUCUUUUUAAAGAAAGUUUCUUUUGCUCAAUAAGUAAGCUAGCCAUGACUCAUUUUUAAUUGAUGUCAAUGGAUUGUGGCCUCUGUCUUUUUAUCAUGUUUGCACCACAUAUUAAUAUUGAAUUAAUAGAAAUUUUCUGUUAAAUGUAUGUGUUCCACUACAGUUCUGAAUUAUACCAGCAACUUUCAAAAAUGAACUUCUGUAUAACAGCUACUGAGUGCCAGAUGUCAGAAUGUUAUACGAACUUACUCUUCUAUAAGUGUGCCAAAAACUGUUUUGAAUUGAGACAUAGGCUCCUGAAUUCUUACACAACUCCAAAUGUUAUUUAAAGCAAUUUAUCCUAAAUAAUCUCCUUUUGCUAUGUUGGAACUUUGGAAAGGAGCCAUUUCGCUGAGACAACAUGAGAUAUUUCAUUAUAUUAACUUGAAUUAACUUCCAGAGUGAGUUUAUAAAUUGAGCCAGGCACAAUUUAUGUAAGAAAGGUUUUUUUUGGUUGUUUGUUUUUUAAAAUAAAUGGUUGUUUUUCAGACAUUUAAAAAAUGAGAACUAUUCCAUCUUCUUUCUGGGUAUCUUCAGAUAUGCUUCUAAUGAACUCUACCCUGCAUGAAAUCCACCCACUAGGCAUUUCCUUUAUAUUUGGGGGCUUCUUGUAAGUGCAAAUAGGAAAAAUCUUGUUCACACAAUAUGUUCACAGAGAUGAGAAAGCUCUGGCCCUCCAGAUGUUGGAGAACAGUUCCCAUCAUUGCUGACUAUUGGUCAUGCUGGCUGGGACUGAUGGAAGUUGGAGUCUAACAACCCCCAGAGCGCCAUAAAUUCCCCAUCCCUGACUAUAUGGAACUCACCGUCAUAAGAUAUAGUGAAUGUCACUAGCACCGUUGGCUCUUUUAAAAAGGAUGUCACAAAUUUACACAAAUAGGUCUAUCAAAGGCUUUAACCAUUAUAACCAAAUGGAGGGGCCCUCUGGGUACUAUAUGCUGGUAAGUAACCAUGAAGGGCUGUUGCCUUCAUGUACCAGCACACAACUUGGGACUGGUUUGGAGUCAAUCAGACAAGGCUGGGUUUGGGGCCAUUUACUUGUGACCCCGGUCUGAAUGUUUGAUUAUUCAGUUUGGUGGGGGGGGGGGUGGCACAAAAUGUGGCUUUGAAGCACAAAGUGGCACAAAACGAGCACAAAACUUUGACGGAGAGUCACUGUGGUGUAGUGGUUAAGAGCGGUAGACUUGUAAUCUGGUGAACCGGGUUCGCGUCCACGCUCCUCCACAUGCAGCUGCUGGGUGACCUUGGGCUAGUCACACUUCUUUGAAGUCUCUCACCCCCACUCACCUCACAGAGUGUUUGUUGUGGGGGAGAAAGGGAAAGGAGAAUGUUAGCCGCUUUGAGACUCCUUCGGUUAGUGAUAAAGCGGGAUAUCAAAUCCAAACUCUUCUUCACCUGUUUGGAGACAAUGGGACAAGGUUGCAUUUGCUGUGUCAGUUACGGGGUCACAAAUUAAUGGAGGGCCUUCAUGUCCUGAUUCUGUUCUUCCUAGAGCAGUAGUUCUCAAAUGUUUUUCCUCUGGGUCACCCUUUCAGAAUAAAAAUUUGCUCGCGCCCCUCCGGAUUUCUUAUUGAUGAGAAAUACAUUGCAAAACAAGAAGAAAGAAUUCCUAGCAGUGCCUAAUUUAUAUACAGUGGUGCCCCGCAAGACGAAUGCCUCGCAAGACGAAAAACCCGCUAGACGAAAGGGUUUUCCGUUUUUCGAUGCGCUUCGCAGGACGAAUUUCCCUAUGGGCUUGCUUCGCAAGACGAAAAUGUCUUGCGAGUCUUGAGAUUUUUUUCGCUCCCCCCCUUUUUCUAAGCCGCUAAGCCGCUAAUAGCCUUUUAGCUGCUAAGCCGCUAAGCCUUUAAUAGCUGCUAAACCGCUAAUAGCGCUAAUCCGCUAAGCCGCUAAUAGGGUUGCUUCGCAAGACGAAAAAACCGCUAGACGAAGAGACUCGCGGAACGGAUUAAUUUCGUCUUGCGAGGCACCACUGUAACAUAGAACACAACUACUUUAUAAUAU